rnacentral:lncRNA from 1 species
GAAAGUGUUAAUCUGGUUAGGUUUGUUAGAGACCCAAAGGACGUGGCAAGCUCAAGGAGUGAGGUUUUGUCUAAUUCACCACGCAGAUAUAAUCUUUGAAUUCGUAGAGGUAGGCGCAGGAUGCCCAACUGCUGUAAUUCUUCCCCAUCUUCACUUUCGACACAUAAUUUGCUAAGAUGGUUCAUCUUUGUGAUACUAUUCCACAAGUCUGCACAGUGAUGGGUUCUUACGCCUAUUAUCCCAAAUUCCCGCAACUCUAUCAAAGCUUUUACAUUCCGCACAAUCUCCUCAGUUGCACUAAUAUUUGCCAAACUCUGCAAGUCCUUCAAGCGCCUUAUUCCCACCGGUGCCUUGAUGCUCUUAUCCAUAUUGUCGGGCAAAUAUAGAUGUCUCAACUUUUGAAGCUCUGUUAUUCCUUUUGGCAGCUUUUCUAUUUCACUUCCAUAUGUAUCUAACAUUUGCAGAUUUCGUAGCUUUCCAAUUGAUCUUGGAAGCUCCUUAAUUUUUGUAGCUCUCAAACUAAGAUAAUGCAGGUUGAAUAGGUUACAGAUCUCACUCGGUAGUUUCUCGAUUGGUGCUCCUUGUAGUUCCAAGACACGUAAAAAUUUUGAUGAUCUUAAGACCGACUUCAGUAAAUCAUAGCUCAUGGAAUUUUUGAAAACAAGUACUGAACGCAAAUGAGAUUCGUCUUCAGGACGAUAAUUAGUUAUAUUGCAUAUGAUUGACAAGCGGCGUGCUUUGGAACUCUGCAAUUUUUUCUGUGAAUGCUCGUAGACCAUGCAGAAACUUAACUCCUUUGACUCCGAGAGAGCGAGGACUCGAAUGAUGUCAUGCAUUCGACAUGCACAAACUCCACCGAAUUCAUUCCUCUUAACCACUUGUAGUAGGCAGCGAUGAACAAGUUCGUUAAGGUAGUCCUCGGCCACUUCCUCCAUCGUUCUUUCAGCUCUUUCUUCAAUGAACCCUUCGGCCACCCAAAGCUGUAUGAGCCUGAAACUUCCAAUUUGACAAUUUUCCGGAAAGCUAGAACAAUAUAAGAAGCAAUUUCGAAGGUAAUGGGGAAGAUCGUCCAAACUAAGUUUCAAAAUGUCAUAUACUUUUUCAUGGAUCUUUGAUUCGCUCUUAGUUAGAUACCACUCAAGAUCUUUGUAAACCUUCUCCCACUCAGAACCGGUUUGUUCUCGAAAUGAUAAGAGACGGGCUAUAGAUACGAUAGCAAGGGGCAAGCCACCGCACUUCUCGACAAUUUUUUUACCACAUUGUUCUAAAGGUGGCGGGCAAAUCUUGUUUGCACUUUUCCAAAAUACGUUUUUACAAAAUAGAUCCCACGAAUCAUUUGCCUUCAGUGUCUCUAGCUCAAACAAACGGUACUCGUCAGCUAGUAGUGCUACAUUGCGAAUUCUUGUUGUGAGAACUAUUCUACUCUUGCUAUUACUAUUCAGAAGUGCAUAUUUUAUAUUGUCCAUUACAUCAGUACUCCAAACAUCAUCUAGAAUGAGUACAUACUUUUUAUCCUGCGAGUAAGUGCGGAUAGUCUCAACCAAGCUUCUGUAAUCCAUGGUAUCAAUGUUGUUAGGUGCUUCUCUUUUCUCAACCAAGCUUGUGUAAUCCAUGGUAUCAAUGUUGUUAGGUACUUCUCUUUUCUUACGAUCUUCCCUAUGAAACUCUUUUAAGAUUUGUCUAAGCAAAUCAUGAGUCUCAUAACUUUGAGAUACAGCAACCCAGGCACAAGCAUCAAAGGAAGCUUUGAUGAUAUUGAACACAUGAGUCACGAGAGUGGUCUUCCCUAGACCACCCAUCCCAAACACUGAGAUUAUCACGUGCUGCCUUUGCUGCUCGUCCUCAUCUUUUAACCAUCUGAGCAAUAAGUCCCUGUACUCGUCAAAACCCACGAUAUCAUCCUCCUCGACAAAAUGUGCUAAUUCUGCACGGCUUUUGCUACCGCCAACAGCUAUUAGAGGUCUUGCUUCAUUUUCCAUUCCUCUUGUAUCAUAUCGCUUACUUCUUUCAAUAUUGCUUUGGAGCUUAAUUUUGAUCUCUUUAAGCCUCUUGCUAAGGUGAUGCCAGGUUUUUAUAUUAAUGCACCUCUUGAUUGCUGUGGGUAGAACCCCUCCUUGCGCCUCACCCAGCUUGUACGUGAACUUAUCUAUAAUAUCCUCAAUGUCGAAAGCCAAGUCUCUUGUUUGUUGUAUAAAAAUUUUUAUGCUCUGAUCCUUUUCUUUUAGUCUUUCUGCAGUCUGUAGGAAGGAUUGCAUGCCCUUAAGUUCAUCCUUAAUGUCACAUAUAUCCUUCAUGAGUUCUUUCAUUGCUGAUAUCCGUGUUAGUAGUCGUGAUGUUGCUGAUUUAGUUGCUUCACUAGCUAUGAUAACGCCGAUCUUCAGGAGUAAUGAGCUAAUCACAGCCUCCGCCAUUGGGAAUUCCUAUGAAGUGAGCCCGGAAUUAAUAAAUGGUCCUUUCAAACUAUCAUGUCUCUUCAAAUGUACCACUAGAGAAAAUGAUUAUUUUUUAGCGCUCUUAUGAUUCUAGGCAAUUUUUGCAAAAAAUAUGUAAUUGUCUCAACCAAAAUAACUCUGUAGUGCACUGAACAAACAUUUGUUAAAAUCCUCAGUUAAAAGGAAGAAACACCAGUAACAACAUUGUAGUCUCUAAGAACAAAAAAUAAUAACUUGUUUGAGAAGCAGUUUAACAAAAUUUUCAGAUAAAAGAUUCAUCAUAACUAAUCAUACUAAACUCCUAUAUGACCUCAAUGUAUAUUUGUAAAGCAAGAUGUGGAAUAGUCCUUAAUUUAGAGGAUUAUGAAAUCAAUGAAGAGUUGGAAAGCAAAUGAAUCUACUGCCAGUCACUAAGUAGAGCGAAUUGUAUUAAGAGCGAUUGUAAAUUAUUGUGCAAUUAACCAUUAUAAGCCUAGUUGCCCUUGAAGGCCUCUUCUAGUUUAUAAUUAAGUUUAUAUCAGGACUCUUUAAGUCAUUUGAGCAAGAAACUAUUAGUGCUUAUUCAAAUAGUUUUGUUUUGACGGAAAUAUAAGAACUUAAUUUUAGACGUGAACUUCCAUAUUUCUGAGGAGUCAUAGUGGCUAUUGGUCUUGUUACCCACAAGAUUGAUCUGAUGGUAAUCUAUUAAAGACUUGAGAUCUUUUACUCAUUUACAUAAGCCUUAAGAUCUUGUACUCAUUUACAUGUUAAAUAACUUGCGAAUGAUGUCAGUACACUGGUAGAAGAUGUAAAUAGGAAAGACAAACAAACUAAAUUUGAAUGUCAUUAAACUGCAUAUAUUAGUUGAGCUUUUGAUAUUAAAUAAAAUUCUCUCAACUAUCUAGAUCAAUAUCUAUCCAAGAUUAUGAAUUUAAGAAUUUUUUUUUUAAAAAAAAAUGUAUUUAGAAGGUUUCUAAUUUUGACCAUUCGCAUUAAUGUGCCCUCUUGGUGAUCCAGAAAUUAAAUUUUAAAUAUCACAAAACUCUUUUUCUAUAAAGUUUGUGUAUCUUUAAUCAUCUUUCAUGGUAUUGAUCAUCGAAUUAAGUGCUCAAUCAUCAACAAUAAAAUGAAAGUAUUAUAUAAGGCCAAAUUAUUCUAGCUUAGUUAUUAGCUCUUGUCAUCUCGUUUCCUAAGAUGAAGUGAAUCCAAACUAUAUAUUGAGCCAAAAAGAAUUACUCUCUAUGCUUUAUUAGAGAAUUAAAUAGCUUAUAGCGAAGAAAAUAAAAAACAAGAACACUUGGAACUUAAAAAUUAAUUAAAAAGAAUAAGUGGAAGAAGAACAAAUGACCACAGAUCUCAGGAAGAGAUUGAAGAGGGGGUUGCUCCAAAUAUCAAAUUUGAUAAAGAAAUAAAUAAUUGGGAGCAAAUAAUUUGGACAGUGCAGCUACCGAUGGAGAAACUUCUUCCCUCUUUAUUAUGAGAGAUUCUAUUAUACAUCAAAUGUACCGCAUCAUCAAUUAAAAGUCAAAUAUAUCUCUUCUUUUGAGUAAAAUAUAUAAUAAAAAUAUUUUUCUAUUAACCAUGAUGUAAUGGAUGAACAUAAAGGAACAAUUUGAUUGGUAGGUGAUGACACAUCACCAAUAUAACUAAUGCAUACAAGAUUUUUUUUUUUCCUUUACUGUUCCUAGCAGCACUUGAUUGCAGUGGGCCAUGAUGAAUUAUGGGCCUGUUUGGCCAAUAUUCUGAAAAAAAAUAAUUUUUACCGAAUUAAUUUUAAUUUAGAAAAUUAAUUUUAGCUAAAAAUUGUAGAGCGCUUAGCUGAAUCUAACAAAAAAGCGAUUGUAAAGACUGAGAUUUUGGCAGUGCAACUAUGUUGGAAACCGGAUGGAUCGUCCGUCAUGUGCUACCAACAAAGAUGCACGAAAAAUAGAGAAAAUCGACCGAACGGUAAAAGAAAUAAAUGCAGAAAGAAGAAACCAAGAUUUACGUGGUUCGGCAAUUGCCUACGUCCACGGGGAGAGCGAGAGAGAUGUAUUCCACUAUAUGAAGAAAUAGAAGUACAAGCUUACACCUUAUGUCUUCUCCGGAUAAAAAACCAAGAACCUUAUGGUGAAUCCCACCUUCUUGUUCCAACGAAAACUCCAAGAAAAUACCGAAAAAGCUUUUCGUAAAACCAAGAAGACCAAAUUAGAGAAGUAUAGAAACUCUAACCAAAUUCCUUUAUGCCGUUGCUUCGAAGAAUCCGAACCGCUCAGGCAAUUGGUUGAGAACCGCCGCUCCGCCGCCAACGUCAAUCCGUCGCAUGCGUGCUACCGCGCAUCUCUUUUUCUUGCUACCGUACGGCUAUAGGAAGCUGUGAAUUAAUUAGCCCGAUGCUAAUUAAAUUUCUACCACAUGACGCAUCGUACGGUUCACCCCAGCAUGAAUAUAUAGUGCUAAUUAACCCGGUCAAAAGUCAACCAAUGUUAAUUGGAGUCGGUUUGAGAAGUAUAAACCGAAUAUGGUUUUGAUGCAUGCAAUCCCAAUAUUAAUUAGAUUCAGCCUCAUCUCUUACACCAACGUGAAUCAACUUUAAGAAUUAAUAUAUUCCGUAGACCCGGUGCAUGGACAAAACCAAUAAAAAAGAAGGCAUAUCUUUAACAUUCUCCACCUUGACUUCUUUUUUACUUCAUUACUCUCUCUCAUCUUAUCGCCCCCUCUCCCUGAGGCAUUCAGUCAUUAGCAGUCAUGCAAAUUAGCCAAGUUUAGACAGUGUCUAAACUUAUCCGCUGUUACCGGCUUUGUCAUGAUGUCAGCUACAUUAUCCUUUGUGGAAACCUUUAUAAGCUGAAUUUCUCCAUCAUCCUCAUUAGUGAGCUCCCGUAAUUUGUGAUACUUGAUUUCUAUGUGCUUUGUCCUCCCAUGGUAAACUGGAUUCCUGGCGAGACAUAUAGCACUCUGACUAUCACAACCGAUAAUCAUUUUUUCCUGCAUGAUCCCGAGUUCACCAACCAAGCCUCUAAGCCAGACUGCUUCCUUAGCUGCUUCAAUUGCCGCCAUAUACUCCGCUUCUGUAGUUGACAAGGCUACAGUGCGCUGCAACGUAGAUUUCCAACUGAUAGGUCCGCCGCCCAGCAGAAAGACGUAACCUGUAAUAGACCUACGCUUGUCCAAAUCACCCGCAUAGUCGGAAUCUACAAACCCCUUCACUUCAUCAUUACCAGAAUCUUUCGAGUAGAGAAUACCUUUAUCUGAUGUGCCCUUCAGAUACCGCAAAAUCCACUUCACGGCCUCCCAGUGUUGUUUUCCUGGAUUCGACAUAUACCGACUGACAACACUAACUGCAUGUGAAAGAUCAGGCCUAGUGCAGAUCAUAGCAUACAUCAGGCAACCGACUGCACUAGCAUAUGGUAUCUUUGACAUAGAAGUAAUCUCCUCAUCCGUCUUGGGACACAUCUCCUCAGAAAGUUUGAAGUGUUGGGCUAAUGGAGUCUUGACCGCCUUCGCCUCUGACAUAUUAAAUUGCUUUAUAAUAGCUCGUAUAUAUGUCUUCUGCGAUAACCAUAACUUACCCUGUAUGCGGUCGCGUCUGAUCUCCAUACCUAGGAUUUUCCUAGCACCUCCUAGGUCCUUCAUGUCAAAUUCUCGGCUCAACUGAUCCUUUAAUUGUUGCACUUCAUUCGGAUUCUUAGCUGCUAUAAGCAUAUCGUCUACAUAUAGCAUAAGCAGAAUAAACGAACCAUCUUCAAGCCUCCGAUAGUAGACACAACUGUCAUAUAAACUUCUGCUAUAACCAUGCUCGAUCAUAAACCCGUCAAACCGCUUAUACCACUGCCUCGGUGCCUGCUUCAACCCGUAGAGAGAUCUUUUCAGUUUGCACACCAGAUUCUCCUUCCCCGGCUGAACAAAACCUUGAGGUUGUUCCAUAUAAAUUUCUUCUACUAGAUCCCCAUGAAGAAAUGCGGUUCGAACGUCAAGCUGCUGAAGCUCUAAAUCAAACAUAGCCACCAUAGCUAGAAGCAUCCUAAUUGACGCGUGUUUUACCACCGGUGAGAAAAUCUCAUUGAAAUCAACUCCCUUUACUUGCGCAUAGCCCUUGGCUACUAACCGCGCCUUGAAUUUUUCUGGUUCUCCAUCUGCACCCUGCUUCUUUUUGUAGAUCCACUUGCAACCGAUAGAUCUCUUCCCUUCCGGUAAUGGAAUCAGAUCCCAUGUCUGAUUCUUCUGUAGAGACUCCAUCUCUUCUGUCAUAGCCGCCAUCCAUCUGCCACUAUCUCUGUCCUGCAUCGCCUCCUGAUAGGAAGUGGGAUCAUCUGAUGUAAUUAAUAAGGCAUAAGAUACUAUAUCCUCCAACCUGUACCGUAAAGGUGGACGAAUCUGUCUCCUUUCCCUUCCUUUAGCGAUAGAGUAGGGCUCCUCCGAAGUGCUUUCAAUCGGAUCGCUUUGUGUACCAUGAUCAUCCUGAUAGUGGGGCUGCUCCACCUGAUCAUCUACACCCUCUUGCCGCUCCACCUGGAUCUGCGUAGUUUUUGACUGUUCUUCACGUUGAGCCUCCUGAUGAUCCUUACGCGGCAUAGCUUUUUCGUCAAAAACUACGUCCCUGCUAAUCACCUUCUUCUUGGCGAUAGGGUCCCACAGCUUGUAUCCUUUAACACCCAUAUCGUACCCAAGAAAUAUGCAGGGCUUUGACUUCGAAUCUAAUUUUGUGCGCUGAUUUUCCUGGAUAUGGACAUAAGCAGGACAACCAAAGACCCGUAAGGAGGAAUAAUCUGCAAGUUUACCUGUCCAUACUUCCUCCGGUGUUUUGAGUUCGAUUGCUGUGGCGGGAGAUCGAUUAAUAAUAUAGCACGCCAUAUCUACUGCUUCAGCCCAGAACUCCUUUGGCAAAUCUGCACAUAACCUCAUGGAUCUGGCACGUUCUAGCAAUGUCCGGUUCAUCCUUUCUGCUACCCCAUUCUGCUGUGCAGUACCUGGAACCGUGUAAUGACGUACAAUACCUUCAUCCUUGCAGAAUUUCUUAAACUCCCGAGAAGUGAACUCUCCACCAUUGUCCGUUCGAAGAACCUUGACCUGCUUCCCAGUUUGUUUCUCCACCUCAUUCUUCCAAUGUCUGAACUUUAUAAAUGCCUCAGACUUUUCCUUCAUGAAGAAUACCCAAACCUUACGGGAGAAAUCAUCGAUAAAUGUAAUAAAAUAUCGCGCACCACCUUUCGAAGUCACCGGAGCCGGUCCCCACACGUCCGCAUGGAUAUACUCAAGUAUACUUUUACUUUUAUGACUGGAGGUCCUGAAACUCAACCUUUUCUGUUUUCCAAAUAAACAAAAUUUGCAGAAAUUAAGUUUACAGGAUUUAAUACCUUUGAGUACUCCCCUUUUAUGCAGUUCCAACAUCCCUCUUUCACUCAUGUGGGCUAGUCUCAUGUGCCAGAGCUCCGUAUCAUCAGCAUCAUGAUCUUCUGAGGAUGUUACCGCAACGCCUCCAAUCACCGACUCGCCGAUCAGCCUGUACAGAUUCCCUUUCUUCUCUCCCUUCAUGACGACCAUGGCACCCUUUUUAACCUUGACGACUCCACCUGAAAUGCUAAUAGAACAGCCAGUAGAGUCAAGAGUACCAAGUGAUAUAAGAUUUAACCUGAGAUCCGGAAUGUGUCUCACAUCCGUUAACGUCCUCACCACACCAUCAAACAUCUUUAUUUUUACUGUUCCGAUACCGACCAUCUUGCAGCUAGUGCGAUUACCCAUCAUAACACUACUGCCUUCACAAGACUUAUAAGUAUCAAAUAAAGACCUGUUUGGAGACAUGUGAUAAGAACAACCAGAAUCUAAUAUCCAGUCACCGUGAGAGUCAGAAUCUGUUGUAACCGUCAAGACGUCCUGACCGGAAUCACUGGCUACGCUCGCCGUAUCUGCAGAGGAAUUCUGAUUUCGCAGCCAAGCCUUCCUCUUUUCGCAGUUCUUUUUCAUGUGGCCCUCUUUCUUACAGAAGUAACACUUCACCUUUUUCGAUUUUGACUUGGAACGGGAUCUUCCUUUACCUGCAUCACGUUCUCUUGAUCGUCCCCUUCCUCCACUUGUAUCAUUUACGACCAAACCUGCACUGCUUUCUUCGGUACUCGCCUGCAACCUGAUCUCUUCAGAUAAAAGUGUCGAUGUAACAUCUUCCAUCUUUAGAGUUUGCUUCCCGUACAGUAUGGUGGUCACCAAGUGAUUGUAGGACGACGGAAGUGAUGUAAGAAAAAUCAACGCCUUAUCGUCCUCGUCAACCUUGACAUUAAUGCUGAGCAAAUCCGCAAUAAUUUUAUUAAAGGUGUUCAAGUGUUCCGUUAUUGCCGUACCUUCCUUCAUGCGUAGCCCAUAUAAUUUUUGCUUUAGGUACAGCACGUUCGAGAGGCUUUUGGUCAUGUACAGCUUCUCUAGCUUGUUCCACAUGCCGACUGUAGUUUCUUCAUCCAUUACGUUAUACAUCACCUCAUCUGCUAGACACAAUAUAAUUGUAUUCACCGCCCGCAGAUCAAUAUCCUCCCAAUCUUCGUCGCUCAUCGAUGUCGGCUUUUUCGAUUUUCCGAGCAACGCCUUAUGAAGGCCCUGUUGAACCAGAAGGGCUUUCACUCUUCUCUGCCAGAGACCGAAGUUUCCUUUACCGUCAAAUUUCUCCACCUCAAACUUAGAAGACGAGACUUUCGACAUCUCUGAUGUAGCACGAACCUUACGCUCUGAUACCAUUUGUUGGGAACCGGAUGGAUCGUCCGUCAUGUGCUACCAACAAAGAUGCACGAAAAAUAGAGAAAAUCGACCGAACGGUAAAAGAAAUAAAUGCAGAAAGAAGAAACCAAGAUUUACGUGGUUCGGCAAUUGCCUACGUCCACGGGGAGAGCGAGAGAGAUGUAUUCCACUAUAUGAAGAAAUAGAAGUACAAGCUUACACCUUAUGUCUUCUCCGGAUAAAAAACCAAGAACCUUAUGGUGAAUCCCACCUUUCUUGUUCCAACGAAAACUCCAAGAAAAUACCGAAAAAGCUUUUCGUAAAACCAAGAAGACCAAAUUAGAGAAGUAUAGAAACUCUAACUAAAUUCCUUUAUGUCGUUGCUUCGAAGAAUCCGAACCGCUCAGACAAUUGGUCAAGAGCCGCCGCUCCGCCGCCGACCUCAAUCCGUCGCAUGCGAGCAAACUUCUCUUCUUUAACCGUACGGACGGGGCACCUUUAAUUAAUUAGCUAGGCACCGAAUGCUAAUUAAUUGGGCCUCCACACCAUGCACCCACGAAGCCGUACAUCCCUCUAUUAGAGCCGGACACCUUUAAUUAAUUAGCAUCUCUAAUUAAUUUUGGCCACCACUCGACACCCUUGCCGUACAUGCAUAUGCAUGUAUAUAUAGAGAGGGAUUUGGCUCAAUCCUACUCUAAUUCAAUUGAAUAUAGAGUCAUAUAUGGAAAACUAAUCCUAGUCUAUCUAGGAUUCCAAUUUAAAUUAGGAUCCACCAAAAUAAAUCCUCAUGAGAUCCUUUUUAUUUUUCCAUAAACCAAUAAAAAAGAAGGCAUAUCUUUAACAAACUAAACUCUCUGUUGAUGAUGUUCCUGUGUGUAAUUGAAUUACAUAAGCACUCGUCAAGUUUCAGGAGAAAAUGAGCUAGAAUGGAGAAGUUACGCGAUUAUUACUAAUCACUUAAAGUGAAUAGUAACACUGAUUUUCCGGAGAAGCCACAGAGUAGAGUUGGCUUUCGGCGCGUAUCGGACUCCGUUUAUAGUGAUCCAAUAGCUCGUUUCGACCUAUUCAGCUAUUCUGGAACCAAUGGCACUGACGAAUUUCAAAUCUGAUGCAUGGUUUUUGAGAAAAAGGGAUUUUAUCGAAAGGAGGGUUUUCGCUUUUUGCUAUUCUUGCAUUGUGAAACCCCUCGUGCUCCAUGCUUGUGAUCUGGAGUAGGGUGAUGGACGUUUCGGGUCCCUACUAGCAGUAGGGAAGUCAAAUUCAGAUUUGAAAUUAGGGUUUUCGGGUUUACACAUUAGUAUAUGUGUAAUUUUGGGAACUUUGGAGAGCGGACAAGUUUCAGUGCGAAUCCGUGACCGAUCGAGGUGAACCAAAAUCGUAGCUUUGUUGUUUCCAUCGUGCUGAUCGCACUGGUACAAUCCGUUCGCAAAUCCGACGGACGGAUCUGCGGAGAUUGCGUGUUGAUUGACGAGAGGUCGGUGAUGGCAAAAUGGUAUUUUUGCAAAAGUUGCGACAUUUUAUGUAUCAUUUCGCGUGAGAUCGCACGUGGAGGGGUAUUCACGUGUUUUACUCGUGCUGUGAGGGACUUGGAAUGAAAUAAUCUGUUUAGAGGGUCUUGUGCGCAAAUUUGCCAUUUGCUUAUAAGUGACCACUUAGGGUUUCUCCAUGGAAACCCUAACCCUUGGCCUCCCUCUUCCUCAACUGAACCCAGCCACCUCCCUCUUGUUCCCCUGCCCUAGCUCUGCGCGCACCCCGGCCAUCGGCAAGGUCCCCCGACUGUCGGAAAAGCUUGGGUGGCCUUUCCUCCACCAACCUCCUCCACUUCUGUCCGAGGGCAACCCAGGAGGAUCAUCGCUGUUGGGCACCAUUUCUGGCAGUACCUCAGAGCACAGUCAACCCGCCGUGCCGGCCGCCGUCGUCCCUGUGGGCCUCAAGCAGCCGCCGUGUCUUCUUGCAGCCACCUGGUGCAGGUUCGGUCCACGUCAUCUCCGCGUGGCGCCGUCUCCCUUGGCCGGUCGAGACGCCCUCCUGCGACCUCCGGCGAGCCCCCGCCACCGGACGGGGCCGCCCCCGAGCGCCGCGCCGCCGCCCUGGCAGGCUGCGGCCGGAUCUGGGUAGAUCCGGCCAGGGAGCUUCAGCCCCCUUAUGCACUACCGCCGCCACUUUGGGUCGGCCGAGUUGCCUUCCCCUGAAGCUCCAGCGACCCUCGCGCGCUGCCACCGCCUCCUCCGUUGGUCGCCGCCAUCGCAUUANCGCCGUCGUCCCUGUGGGCCUCAAGCAGCCGCCGUGUCUUCUUGCAGCCACCUGGUGCAGGUUCGGUCCACGUCAUCUCCGCGUGGCGCCGUCUCUUUGGGUCGGCCGAGUUGCCUUCCCCUGAAGCUCCAGCGACCCUCGCGCGCUGCCACCGCCUCCUCCGUUGGUCGCCGCCAUCGCAUUAGCUCUCCGCGGCCACUCCUGACUAGCUCAGGCUGAGGCUGGGUCCUCUUCGUCCCCUGCGCCGCCGCCGCUCUGGAUCAGCCUCGCCACCUUCCCCGGACUCCGGCGACCUGUCCGGCGACCUGUCGCCAUAGCUGUGGAGCUUCCCGGAUCGCCAACGUGGCCGGAGCUGCCAAGGGUGCUCGAGCCGAGCCCAAACGGGCUUGGGGACGUUGCUGCAUUACCACCGCCACCUCCCGCCGUCGGUUGGCCUAAGCGCCAUCCUUCCCUGGCCGGCCGUGUCCGGUUUCUGCCGGCGCCUCCGCCGCUGGAGCCUCCCUGCUAACCGGACUGGGCCGCGCUCUCCUAGGAUUGCCGCGGCUAGGGCAUCAUUGCCCGCCGCCUUCGCCGCUCUCCGCCGCCAUCCGAGGUGAGCACCGUACUCCUCACCUCCCUCGCACCCAUCCCUGGUGCGUGCGCACCUCGCCGUGCCGCCGGUAGCCGGCCGGAGCAAGCUUUCUCUGGCCAAGUCCGAAAUAGGGCUUAUUUUGAGUAAGAUACUGUUCCGAGCAAUUCAGGCCUCCCCGAUCUCUGUGGAAGGGAGCAUGAUGAUCGUGACACAUCGCUGAUCAUCGUGCUCACUUUAGUUUCUGUCGGGGAGACUCUGUUCUGCUGUUUUUGCGGUGUCGCCCCUUUUUGGGGCUUUUGGUUGCUGUUUCGGUUUGCACACGCGUUUUCCGGUGACCCAGGGCUAUUCUGAUGCCUUCGGAGGUGAGCACCGUGAUCGUUGGUCAGUUCCUAUCGUUGCGCUCACCUCAUUUAAGGUCAGCAAGCCCUUGGUUUGCUAUAUAAGCAUGUUUUACAUGCUGUGCGUGCUGUUUGCAGUCUUUCGCAUUGCUCCCGCGUUCUCCACAGUGGUCGGCCGUGCUCCGAAGUGUGAGCACAGCCUCCGGCACGCCGAGACCUGUCAGCAGAUGACUCGGAUUGACUGAAUGAUCAUCGGUUUGCAUUUUUGGGCCAUAAAACCCUGAAAAUCGUAUGAAAUAAUGCGAUUUCAUAUAAUCGGGAGGGCUUUUAUGCAAUUGUGACUGUUGUGGCCACUGUUGGCAGCGUGUGCGGGCAGUGGGUGACCUCUGGACUGAUUGUCCAAGGCCCCAGGCCUUUGCGAAAAGCGAAAAGGGAUUUUCGGCGCGUUUCUCAGCGAAAUCUGCCGACGGAACGCGGGUUCGGUUCGGAAUUCUUCCUACGGUGCCUCGUGAGCUAUUGUUGCGUCACUAAGCCUUGUUGGCUGGUCACCCUCAUCGUUUCGAGGGUUCGAAAAUGACGGGUGAGCGACGGUGGGUUUCGGUGUCAAAAUUGACACUUCCGGGAACUCGGAUCGGAACGAUUGUCCAACGAUAAUCGUUUCGGAGUGAGUUAGUGUUUUCGCUGCCAGGUCACAUUAAAAUAAGUGUUUAUCGGCAGCGAGUGACUCGUGGUACGAUUCGGUGCGUUCCGGGAUAGUUCGUGGGUCCUGGCAGAGUCCCAGUACGGUUUUCGGGAUUUCCGACGUAUUACGGUAAUCAUUUUUGGGAAACCGAUUUUCGUAGAGUUAUUAGUGGUUUGUUUGUGUUAGCGGGUUAGAUUCUAACCCGCUGGACCUUUCGUAGGUCCGGUUGAUUAUUCCUCGGCCAGUAUCACGUUUGUACAGGUGGGUACUUCGAUCCGAAGUCGGUACAGUGGUGCACGCUCGGUGAUGGUUUCUUACCCUUGCUCUCCUGAUUGUUACUAUUGCUUAGUAUUUAUUGAGCCUUGCACCCAUAUUGUUUUCGUCAUAAUCUACUCAGUAUUUCCAUGUUUAGGAGUAGAGUAGAUUUGUCUGCAUAUGACAUCUGCGACCUGAUUGGUCGGUUCUUGUACUUCACAUCCGUGGUUCUGAUAUAUGUGGUCGAUUGGAGCACUCGGUGACCUAUACAGUCAGUAUACCUGGAGGGUUUGGAUCGUCAGCUAGUUGCCGAUGCUUGGUUAUGACCUAGUCGGUCAGUUCGUUAUAUCUGGUAUUGCAACCUUGUUGGUCGGUCUUUUGUCUCGUAUUUGUGACCUAUUCGGUCGACUUACUGCAUUGUUAUUGUGACUUGCUCGGUCGGUUCUAUUAUCUGAUGGGCAGUGAUUGUCGGCUGGUUGCCGACGGUUGGCUAUUGAGCAUAUUAGCAUCGAUCGCCACUGCUCGUACGCAUUUCACGAACAUUAGCGAUUUGGCCACCGCAAGAGGGUGUUCUUUUCCGGAAAAGUGGUUGGAAUGCCAACCCGUGAACCCAGGUGCUUUAUGCGAGGGUAUAUGCUUUCAGAUCCGGGUGCUUUAUGCGAUGGUCAUAAACCAUUCAAACCCGGGUGCUUUAUGCGAGGGUCAUGUACAGGUUGAGCAGUUGUGGCACAGGCCUGAGGUCUACGGACCGAUAGGUAGUUUCCAAAUUGGGUAUUUUUGGACUUGUCGUCUGGUUGACGCAUAUAACUAUAGUAGCGGUUGUUGCAUACAUACUUACAGUUCUUUCUUUACAGUUGUCUUGCUACUAUAGUUGAUAUCCAUGUAUGCAUUCAGUUUUCUUUACAGUAACGGUAGUUAUUCUUAUACAUCUUGUUCAUGUAUUAUAAAUAAUAAUUUUUUAAAAUCUUAUUUUAAAAUUUGAAUUCAAAAUUUGAAUUUGAAUAUAAAGUUUUUAAUUUUAAAGUUAAACAAUUAAAAAUUUAAAUUUAAAUUUAAAUUGUUAAAUAAUAGAAAUAAAUUUGAAUUUUCAAUUUUCAAAUUUUAAAUUCCAAAUUUCAAGCUUAUAAUUUAAAAUAUAAAUUUUAAAAUUUAAUUUAUUUUAAAAAAUUUUAAAAUAUAACUUUAAAAAUUUUUAAAUUUUAAUUUUUUUAAAUUGCAAAUUUCAAAAUUUUAAAAUUUUUAAAUUUUAAAAUUGAAAUUUAAUGUUUAAAUUUUAAAUUUUAGAAUUUAAAAUUUAAAAUUUGAGAUUUGAAAUUAAAAAAUAAUAUUUUAUUUUUAAAUUUAAAAUUACAUUUAAAAUUUCAAAUUGAAAAUUGAAAAUUUAAAUUUAAAUUUUAAAUUUUUAAAAUUGAAUUUUUAAAUUUCAUUUUAAAUUCUAAAUUUAAAUUAAAAAUAUGAAUCUCAAUUUUAAAUUUAAAUUUUUGAUUCCUAAAUCAGAAUUAGAUUUAAAAAAAAAAGUAGGUUUUACAUUGUUUUUGGACUAAAAAUCAGAAAAUGUGAAAUCAGAUUUUGCAAGAAAUAGCCCUAUAGCUACUAUAUAUAUAUAUAAUUAUUAUAUAUAUAUAUAUACAGAACUAGGCUCGAAUAUUAUCAAUAACACUAAGCUAUUGGUACUAUUAGUUUUUUAGCCAUUAGAUUGAAAACUGUAUGGUUCGGAUAAUAUGAGUUCUCUAGGGUUGAGUGAGUGGUUGGUUGAAUAAUAUAAUCUAACGGGUAAAAAUAAUCAAAAGGGUUAAAUCUAACUGUGGAAAACUCGAUAGCACCAAAUCUUUGGUACUAUUGAUAGUAUCCUAGCCGGACUCUCUCUCUCUCUCUCUCUCUCUCUCUCUCUCUCUCUCUAUAUAUAUAUAUAUAUAUAUAUAUAUAUAUAUAUAUAUAUAUAUUAAGCAUAAAAGACUUGGUGUUUCUGACUUUUCGACCUUGGAUCAGGUCCUUUGAUUAUUUCUAUCAUUUGGAUUAAUAAUAUUAUCCUAUAGGAACUACUCAAUCCUAGAGAACACUAUCAUGCCAACCAUACAAUUUUUUAUUCAAGGGUCAAAUAGUUGAAAGCAUCAAAUAGAGAGAAAAAGAGAGAGAGAGAGAAUUGGGCUAGAAUACUAUUAAUAAUAUUUUGGCUCUUUUACUAUCAAAUUUUUAAACUUGGAUGAAAAAUUAUAGAAUUAGAAUAAUAGUGGUGUAGGUUUAGUUGUGGUCCCCUAGGGUUUAAACAAAACAAGUUAAGUAAUAGUUAAUUCAAUUGUCACAGUGUCACGUUAUCCGUUAGAAAUUAUCCGGCUACUUAUUCAAUUAUUAUCAAAUAAUUAUACCAAAGUAAAAUUUCAUCUAAAAAGUGAAAUAACUUUUGACCAGUGAUCUAAUUGAAAUAGAAGUUAAAGUUCCAUAACUUGAUUUGAAAAAAAAAACUAAAAAUUUUAUGAAGUAAAUGAAAUUUCAGGAAAAAUUAGGUGACUAAUAAUGUAUUAGACUUAAUUAUAUGCAAUUACUUGUAGAUGUGUACGACAUAUAUACUUAAAUACAUCAUAUGUCACGCUGAUAUACACUUACAUUAUUACAUAUGCGUGUAUAUAUUAUUUAAUUACUCUUUCCCUCUUCCUCUAUCCUGCACUUAAUUCUUAUCUUUAAGCCAAUUUAAAUCUUGGGUUAGUUGACUUUGAAUAAGUAUAAAGCAAACCAAAUUUUAAUUUUUUUCAUCUUAUUUCGUUAUCGUGCGAACAUGGUGGAAUCGAGUUUUUAUACUAAUAACCUCAUAACGAUAAGAGCUAAUUUCAUGAGUACAUAUCCUUCCGUCCACCUCUAAUUUUAUAGAUAUUUCUAAAAAAUUAUCAAUAUAAAAAAUGAUCUUUUAAUUUUAAGAAGCUAUUCAAAUUACUUUAUUAACUCAGUUUAAAAUUGUAUGCUAAUUUAUUUUUCCUUUAAAAUUGUUCUAUUCAUUUCCAACAUAUAUACAAUUUGUUGAAAUGAAUUCUUUUUAUUGCCCGUACCAUUAUAUGGAGCUAGGCUGGUAUACUAUUAAAAGUAUUUGGAAACUAAAUUUCAUAACUUUUUGACAUCAUUUGACUAGUAUCUUUAAUCAUCUUUCAUGGUAUAUAUUGAUCAUCGAUUUAAAUACUCAAUCAUCAGUAAUAAAGUGAAAAUACUACAUGAGACCAAAUUAUUCUAGCUUAAUUAUUAUCUCAUGUUAUGUUGUUUCCAAAGAUCAACUGAAUCCAAACAACACAUUAAUCAACAAAGACAUAUAAUAUACUCCUUGCAACUUUUUGCGGAAUCAACUACUUGAUAGCAAAGAAAAUAAAAAUUAAUUAAAAAGAUAGGGGGAGAAGAAGAAGAACAACUAACCACAGAUCCAAAAAGGAGAUUGAAGAGGGAGCUGCUCCAAAAUAAUUAAUCUCAAAUUUAAUUAGAGAAAAUACUGCAACCAAAGAAGCUCUUGGAAGUUGAUGUCUUAUAGGGAUUGAGGAGUGAGAGAUGAUCGAGGAUGAACUAUAUUUAUAGUAUAAACAAAUAUAAUUGGGAGUAGAUAAAAGGCCGAACGGUGUAGCCACCAGGAAACUUCCCUCAUGGCUUUUUAAAUCCACCAACUGGGAGCAGAUGAAAGAGACAAUCGGGAGCAUUUAUCUUGUGGGUUAAUUGUAUACACGUUCCUGCAAUGAUCAUGGUGAAUUGCAGAUAUAUUCCUGCUUAGCUCAACUUUUAUAAGUUGUUCCUACAAAAGUCCUAAUGUAUUCAGAUAUGUUCUUACCGUUAGUUUUCAUUAGAAAAAUUUCAUUAACCACAGUUAAAAUACUUAACCAUGGUUAAUUAAUAAGCUGAAUUGACAAUUUUAACCCCUUCUUUUUCUUCACCCUCUUCCUCUUCCCUCUUUUUCGUCACCGGCGACGGAGGAGAUGCGGCUGCGAACCCUCUCCCUCUUCCUCUUCCUCUUCCUCUUCCCCCUUCUUGUUCCUCUCCUUCUUCCUCUUCUCUCUUCUUCGUCAUUGGCGAAUCCGACCCCGACCUUGUCGAAACACCGCCGACGUCGCCGACGCCGCCGACGCCAACCUUCGCCGCCUCCUCUCCACUGUAUCUUUCGUUGCCAUUGUCGCGCGAUGCUUCCGCGCUUGGUAUUGCACCGUCGCCGCAGCCGCCUCCCGCCUCUCCUCCUCAAUCGGCGACCUCUCCAACCUCGCCUCCGAGCUCCUUCGACCUCCGCCGCCUCCAUUUUCUUCUUCUUCGUAUCCUCCUCUUCUCCUCUUUUUGUUUUUUUGUCGUCGUCGUCAAUGAUCCGCCGCCGCUGUCGCCGCCGUCCACUCCCGAGGAAGAGAAAGAGGAAGGGGGUUACUGCAAAUGUACUUUUGGAGGGACAUAUUUGUGAGGGCAAAAAUAUCAUUUUACGAGCAUACUGUUUAAAAAUUAACAGUUCUCUAACGGAUCCUAACCAGAGGGACAUAUCUAAAUAUAUUAGGACUUUUGCAGGAACAAAUUAUGAAAGUUGAGUUUUGCAGGAAUAUAUCUGUAAUUCAUCAUAUUUGCAGGGACUGUAUGUAAUUAACCCUUUUCUCUUUGUCGCGCUACGAAUUAAAUAAAUUUUUUUUUUGCUAUCGUAUAAUUUUGCCUUUUUUUUUCAAUAAAGGAGCUCCCAUGGAAAAAUAGCAAGAUACUACAUUCCUACAAGGGAUUAAAAGAUAAUAUAUUACUAGUCUAAAACCUGCACCUAAUUACAUAUUUGUAAUUCAUUAAAGAUAAGAGUAAUGCUUCUAUACUUGUUGUUUUAUUUAUUUAUUUAUUUAUUUAUUUAUUUAUUUUGUCACCAUUCAUUCACUCCUAUUCAAUGGCUCAGAUUUAAUUUUUUUAAAAUUGUGAUCUAUAAUAGCAAAUCACUUUGGAAAAGGUACGGAUUACCAAGUACCUCAAAGAAGGGUAUUUUUAUCUUUUAAUAUAUAAGCAAUUUAGUCAGUUUACAUCUACUAUAUUAUCAAAAUUUUUAUUCUCUCUUUGUUUCCUUUUUCUCCCUCUAUCUUUCCUCUCAUAUUUUGUGGACCAACUAUGAAUUUUGUCUAUAUCCACUUUGUAUCCGACCCGAAUCAUAUAUAAAGUUUAAUAUUAUAUUCAAAUUUAUAUUUAAUAUAAAAUAUUUUGAAAUAUGGUAAAGAGAAAUAAUUGUUUCGGAUUCUGGUCUUUGGGUUUGGGUUUGGUUUCCGGCUUCGGAAAGUUGGUUAGUUUCGGAUUUGGAUAUGGAAUUUUGAAAUCCGUUGAGUUCGGAAAGAGAUUUUGCGAUUGUUAGUCAGGUUUGAAUUCAAAUUCCUAAUCUUUUUUUUUUUGACUAGUAAUCCAAAUCUUUUUAAUUUUUAUGUUUAAAAUUAUGUUUAAAAUAAUUAUUAACUCUAACAGUUAAAAUGUUUUUAUUAUGUUUAACGGUUCCAAAAUAUUUUUUUCACGCCCCCGCCCCGAAACCGCUACCGAUUUGGUCCGGUUCGGGCGCGCCGAGCGGACGCCGGACGGACAGCACCUCCCCUGCCCGUCCAAGGCUCAACAAUAGGAAUGUGUACAAAAAUUUACCCAGGAAACUAAAUUCUAAACAUACACACUCAACGGGGCACAAACAGUGCCAACAACUAAGAGCAAGUAACACAAGUAUAAUACAAGUGAAUAAAGAGAGAUCUACUAUCUAUUACAUCACAAUUGCAUCAUUCUUUUACAUUUACAUCUUUCUUCCUCCAAAAUGAAUACAUGUUCAUUUAAAUACAACAUUAGUUUUCCAAAAUGUAAAUAAGCAUCUAGAUACAAAAAGAAACCUAAUGCAUAAGGAAAGCUGGCUAUCUACUGAUCAUUGCUCGGGCGCGAUGUCUUUGCCGCGGUCCUUACCCGGCACGCCCGCACUCGACCCUGUAAUAGAGUGGGGUGAGAACUAUCUUCCAUAGUUCCCAGUGGGCUCGGCCGCCGACUCCGCCGAUCUUCCCACUAGGUCUAAGUUGGCAAAAGCAACAACAACUAGAUAUAUAGAUAGAUUUCUAAAACUGUAAAUGCAUAAUAGAAAAAUUAUACUACUAUACCCAUAAUCAUGUAUAAUGAAUGUAUGCAUCAUAUAGUAAAGGGUUACUAUCAUGCUAACAAGUUCUUUCUAUGUUCAAUAACCAAAUGUUCGAUGACAAUGUUGUCUUUCCAUUUACCCAAUCUGUGGCGAAACCCUUGGGUUCGCCUACGCCUCACAUCUAUAUCCUAAGGGUAAGGAGCUCCAAGUGCUCUCAGAUCUGGGAUUGUCUGCGGACCUCCAUGUGGUCCCUAUCGUGCGACACUCCGGAGUACUCGACGAUAUGGAUGGCUAUACCAUCCCAAAUACAAACCGUGAGCUCGAUCUAUCCUCUCCACGUGAGGAUAUCCUACGGACUAGGGCCAACAUCUCUCGGAACUCACCUAUUCCGACUAUCAUGCAUUGGUACUUAGCUUUACUAAGUUCUUUGUUCUCGAAUCAUUUUCUAGGGAUUCCACCUAUCCCUAUGUUCAUAAACCUCUAGUGUCAUAUACACUAUAUUAAUGCCACUCGAUUUGUUCAUUUAUCGGUCAUAUGCCACUCAUUAUGACACCAUCGAUCAUCAAGUUCAUCUCUACCUUUAGCAUUAUAAGAUCCAAUGUUCCGACCCAAUCCUCAUCUAUCCUAUUCACCUAGCAUUCCAUGUACACUAGGUUUAUAUUUAGAAAGCAUAAGGAAAGAGCUAAACAUGCAAUCCUACAAUGUAAUAUGCAAGAGAUGAAAAUCAUGUAUUUCUAAGAUAUAAAAAAGAGAUCAGUUGCUUCGGGAUGACAGCCCCCACCUUUUGAAGCUGUUUUAAGUUGUGGAGGUCCUAAGAAGACUCCUCGGCACUUGCUUCGAUGCUAUCUUGGCCGUUUAGGUCGAAACGAAGCCCGAACGAUCUUGUUUUGCCUCUAUCUUUUAGCCUGUUCGACGAAACGAAGCCCCCCACCUUUGGUUUAUUUGUUGUAUUUACCUUGCUUACUUAUUGCUGCUUACUCAUGCCUCAGUUGACCUAGUGGUGUACUUCGCCACUCUCGGCGGUUUACCUACUGGGAACUAUUGUUUAAUAGUUUUUACGCCCUUUUGUUGAUUGCUUUUAUGCAGAGUCUUCCAUAGCGGGAAAGGCUAGGAUUCCUGGCGAAGGGUCAGCGGCUAGCUAGAGCCUUCUCGAUGUUUUUUUUUUUUUUUUGAGAGAUAGGUAGCAUGCUACCCGCUUCAUUUUAUUUCGUUAAGAAAUAAACUUAGCUAGAAAUAUAAAUCAACUAGGAUUCGAACUUGGGUCUCGAGUAUCAACCACCAAGCCCUUUGCCACUUGCUCUAGAGAUGGUCGGUAAGCCUUCUCGAUGUUAAUAGAUGAACCUCUACAAGUUUAUUUUGGGCUAGCUCAGCGUUGUAGUUUGAAACUGUUCAGAUUGUACUUUACUUUUAAGCUGUAAUAAGGUUUUGUAUUUGUAUCAGCUUAUGAACUUUUAGUUUUGCUCUGAUUACCUGGUUAUGGUAUUAUACUUUUGCUAUGUUGAUUGUAGACGCCUGGUGUACUCUUGAGGUUGUGGUGUACACGGCGGGUCUAUGCACGUGACUGGUAAGUUUCUGCUGAAGUCCAGGGCGUGACACUACGAGAUCCUGUCGCUGCCGUCCUAAAGAGGACCCUAGCGAUUGAUGUUUCCAACAACACCAAAUACCUCUCUCAUUGAGACCCAGACGCACCUGUCACCAAAUAACUGGACAAGCAUACCAUUUCAAAGUUUGCACGAUAAGCCAAGACACAAACCUUAUACGCUAUCACAUACUAUGACCAUCAAGCCAACAACCAGGCUCAAGCCGCUGAUCAACCAUGAUUCCGAACCUCCCGGCAACAGACCAAGACUACUAACCAAACAAACCUUUUAGCUGUGGAAGGCACAACUAUAGAGUUAACGAGCACUUAGACUCGAACUAGAGUCAAAACCAUCAGCAAUGACGAUAAAUCAACUGCGCAAAACCUGCCAGAGAAUAACCCAAGGCUCACUAUGUAGUCAGAGAUGACCAAUACUCAAGCUUUCUCACAAGGCCAUCUAUAGAGAUUGUCUUGCAAGAGAAAAUGCCGACCUAAUCCAAAAGUCCCAAACGGGGAAACGGUAUUCUAUCCUAACUUUCGACAGUACAUUGUCUGCAGCCAAUGUACUUAUCAAAAGAAAAAGCGAAAUACCCGAAGAUCCACUACCAACAACAAGUUGGAAGCACGACACAUCGAAGUAUCAAAUCACUUGAUACAUCUUUACUGAGCCAAAAGUUCACAACCAAAAUCGUUGAAACAUCGACUUUGCAAGUCAACAUUCGAAAUCAGAUCGACCUUGAACCGACUCAUAGGGAGUCCAAUAGCUUUCAACAUCCAAAAGCUGCUAGCGACACUGAGCCGCAAGCCGCACAAACUGAGGCUUUAGUAAACGGUUUCUCUAACCGAUUUGUGCACCACAACCGCACUAUACCCAAAGCUCUGAGAACUCUGACAAUACCCUAGAGUAUCUCGAGUCAAGACGAAUCCUACCAUAAACCAUAGACUAACCUACAACAAUUCUACCACCAAACAAAAAGGAGGGAUAGACAUCACAACCUUACCCAAGGAUCUGAAAAGGCAACACCAACGUUGCAGUCGCCUAGACGGCUGCUAUCAAAAUUUUGGGCUACACCCUAGUAGCCCCACAGAAGUCACAAUCGUAGCUGAUCAUAGUGUCGUCUCCGUGGAGACGCUUGCAACAACUCUCGUGCGCUAAGUAGGGAGAGUGAUCUUGUAACGACCCAGCCCACUAAUAACAAUAACUCGUUGGGCCCAACUACUGGCCCAAAAUGCUUAAGCUCAGUUAUUAUUACUAGUGUCUAAGUUUCUUAUAUACCCAAUCACAUCCCUAUUUAUAUCCGAUCUGGGAUUAUUGGGGUGUGACAUACUCCUCCCGUUAAGGCCCUGACGUCCUCGUCAGUCCAAUCACACACAGCCGAACAUCACCAGGCGAUAUGAGACUCGUCUCGCUAGCCUUGUCAUCCAGACUCUGGCAUAGCCGGUCACCUUGUCAUACAAACUCCGGCAUAGCCUAUCACCUUGUUUUUCAGACCCUGGCUCAGCCGAGACUCGCCAUACAUUUUCGGCUGGUGAUUGGCUCUGAUACCAAAUGUAACGACCCAAUCCACUAGCAACAAUACCUCGUUGGGCCCAACUACCUGCCCAAAAUGCUUAAGCCCAGUUAUUAUUAAUAGUGUCUAAGUCUCUUAUAUACUCAAUCACAUUUCCAUUCAUGUCCGAUCUGGGAUUAUUGGGGUGUGACAGGCCUGGGCGCCGUCAACCAAAACAAUCACCUAGGCCCAAAAAAAAACAUCACCUGGCCCUUCAAGGCCCCACCCGACAAGAGUGGCUACACCUUGUGAACGUCACCCUGCCACUCGAUGUCCGUACAUGUAUAUCGCCACUACUCCUGGCUGCGACAUGAGUUGUGCGAAAAAUCGUAGCACGUACUGUAACGAUCCAGCCCACUAGCAAUAAUAACUCGUUGGGCCUAACCACCGGCCCAAAAUGCUUAAGCCCAGUUAUUAUUACUAGUGUCUAAGUCUUUUAUAUACCCAAUCACAUCCCGAUUAAUAUGCGACGUGGCAUUAUUGGGGUGUGACAGACUCCCCUCUUAAGGCCGUGACGUCUUCGUCAGUCUAAUCACACACACAGCCCAAGAUUACCAGGCGAUGUGAGACUCGUCUCGCUAGCGAUGUGAGACUCGUCUCGCUAAUCUUGUCUUACAGACUCUGGCAUAGCCGGUCACCUUGUCAUACAGACUCCGUCAUAGCCUAUCAUCUUGUCUUUCAGACCCUGGCUCAGCCGAGACUCGCUACACAUUUCCGGCUGGUGAUUGGCUUUGAUACUAAAUAUAACGACCCAACCCACUAGCAAUAAUAACUCGUUGGGCCCAACCACCUGCCCAAAAUGCUUAAGUCUAGUUAUUAUUACUAGUGUCUAAGUCACUUAUAUGUCCAAUCAAAUCCUCAUUCAUAUCCGAUGUGGGAUUAUUAGGGUGUGACACGUACAUCACAUAACCACGCACCUCGAGUUUAUCAAACUCGACAUGCACACCGGGACUCGAGCCCAAACCCGCACUCACGUGCCUAUACACCGUAGGUCUUUCUAUGGAUCAACCUAACCAAUGGUUCAGUUUAUUUAUUUGUUUCAAAACAACCUGUGAGUGGUGUUGUGGUUGUAACUUGGCUCUGAUACCACUUUAAUCUGUCACGCCCCGGAAUUCCUUUGGAUUUAUAAUUCAAUGCAGAAGUACCCAAUUUUUUUUUUUUUAAGCCUUGACCCUAGAGGACGUCAGAUCCGCCACAAAUACAGGGAUCCACUGUUCAAAUGGACAGAGUCUCACCUAUAUUUACACGGCGUCGUACAAGUACAAGAUACAACCACAUAGUAUAAUAAUCUACAUACAAUCACCACAUCACAUUCUUUCCAUCACACUUUAUCAUAAAUCCAUAUCUAUUAGUUUAAAAUGAUUCCCACCCGGAAAUAUAGUUUGAAAUAAUAUGAAUCAUGAAAAUCAGGAAAAAUUCUUUUUAAAACCGUUUGCCACACGAAAAUUAUUUUUUUUAAAAUACACUACCACGAGGGGUAGAAAACUGUUUAAUUUCAUCUCAUAAGAAAACCAUAAUUAUUUUAUUCAUUUCACAAAACUAGAUGAAUCUAAAUAAAAUAGAACAAACCGAACCAUAACAUGUCUAAGUCAUUUGUUUGGAAAGUAGGGUUAGAAAUUAAACCAAAUCUACCGGGUCAGAGCAAUCUAUAAUAAUAAAGAUACAUCAUAUAUAUGUUAUGCAGAUAUACACUUGCGUAUGCUUGUGUUAUUCAGUUAAUUACUCGGAUCUCCAUCUCCCUCUCUCCCAAACUUAUUAUACUUCCAAUAGGUAUAAAUAGAACCAAAUUCUAAUAUCUUUUUUUCCUUUUGUCACUUUCGUGUGAAAAUGGUACGUACAAUUGACUUGUUAAAAUAAUAAAGAUACAUUGCAUAUAUGUAAUACAUAUAUACUCUUAAGUAAGCAUGUAUUAUUUAAUCAGUGCUGUUACGGAUGCCCUAAUCCUACAAUUAAUGUUCUUGUUAUAUCAGCAACAUCACUAUUAAACUUGAAACACUGUAUUCUAAAUCUUAAACACCGUUAUUAAGCUGCAAACACCAUAAUUAUAUUCUAAAUUUUAAACUCUAAACCCACAUAUGUGCUAGCACGUCAAUAAUAAUAUUUUAAAAUAUAUCUAAGUGAUCGACCGUCCCUAACGCAAGUGGCAAAAAGAUUUGGUGGUUGAUUUUCGAGACCCAAGUUCGAAUCCUAGUUGAUUCACAUUUUCAGCAAAAUUUAUUUCUAAAUGAAAAAAACGAAUCGGAUAGCAUGCUACCUUUCUCUCAAAAAAAAAAAAAAAAAAAAUCUAAGUGGGCGAUCGAAAUCAUUUCUCUUAUUUAAACUAUUCUCUCCCUCUUCCACUCCCAUUCUUCUUAUCUCCAAACCAAUUUUAAAAUUUGAGUUAGUUGACUUUGAAUAAGUAUAAAUUGAACCAUAUUCUAAUGUUUUUCGUCCUAUUUCAUUUUUGUGUGGAAUCGAGUUGCUAUAAUAAUAAAGCUAUAAUGAUAAGAAGAUGCUAAUGCCACGUCGUCAUAAGUAAUAUAAUAAGUUAAUAAGAGAUUUUGUAUAAUGACAAAUUGACAAGUCGUAUAAGUAGUACAAGUCAACAAGAAAGCUUAUAAUUUAUUUUGUUUUUUUGGUUAAAAUGUAAGGAAACCCCACAACCAUAUAGAUCAUAAAUCCUAAUAAUAAUUUGGUUUAAACAUUUUGGACCAAUAAUUUGGAUCUACGAGUUAUUACUACUAGUAGAUUGAGUCGUUAUAUUGGGUUUCAGAGCUAUUUUACUAGCCAAAAAUAUGUUGUGAGUCUCACAUCGCAUGAUGAUCUUGAUUUGUAUUUGUGUUUGUGACUGGGCUUAUGAGGACAUUAGGGAUAGUCCAGCUAGUUAAUUUGCGUUUGCCUACAUUAGGACCUAAGGUGGGUCACAUCACCUCGUCUAGUAAUCUUAGAUUGUAUUUGUGAUCGAGCUGAAGAGAACAUCAGAGCCUAAGGUGAGGAUGUCAGGGCUGGGCUAACUAGGACAUCAAGGCCUAAGGUGUCGUUCCGUGAUCUCGGGUUGUAUUUGUGAUUAGGCUAAGGAGGACAUUAAUGCCAAAGGUAAUCUCGGAUUGUGUUUGUGAUUGAGUUGAUGAGGACGUUAGUGUCAGGCUGAUGAGAACGCCAGCACCUAAGGUGGUUCUCACAUAGCCUAGUAAUCUUGGGAAGAGUCUACGAUACCCAAAUAGUUCCAUAUCUGAGACAAUAUAUAGAUUAUAGUAAUAAUAACUAAGUUUAAGAAUUUUUGAUUGAUGGUUUAAGCUCAAUAAAUUAUUAUUGCUAAAAGAUCUGGUCGUUAUAUUUAGUUUCAGAAACUCGUAGACCACACAUGAACUAGCCAGUAUACACUAUGCGCAAUUAAUGACUAGCAUAUCAUCAGUUGCACUCGAGUAUUUGUGCGUUUUGUUUCAGUUAGAAACUCUUUACUCCAAUCGUGUUUGUUUAGCCUAGCUUCAUAAUUACAAUUUGGUUUAUAAUUAAUUUCUUAAUUUAUUUAUAAGGUAAAUUACAGAAAACCGUCCCAUCAAUAUCUGCUUUUUCACUUUUCUUCUCUGAUUUUUAAAAAUUUAUAUUUUAUUUUCUUAAAAUUUGAAAAAUGUUCACUUCGGAUCCCACCGUCAUUGUUUCGUGAGAGGUCCGUCUAUAUCUUAUUAUUAUAUUUUUUAAUACCCAAAAUACCCUUGGACCCUUCCUCCCUGCAGCCUGUCUCCCUUCUCGCCGACAGAGUCCUUGGUGGCACCACCUCAUCCUCGCCCACCCUUCAUCCAUGCCCACCUUGACGUCCUCCCCAUCAUUGCCGAAUAAAAGGGCCGUGAGGGUACCAGAGGAGUAGGGAGAGCAGGAGGAGCAGGGAGAGCAGGUUAAGCACACGGAGUAGGAGUUGGGGUUAAGGGAGGCACGAAAGACGGAAGAGAAGCGGUUGCAGAUGAAAGAGGGUUGGGGAGGAGACAAAGAGGGAGAGGGCAAUUUAGUCAUUUUGUUAUCACAGUUAACACCGUAUUUUUCUAUGAAUAUUUUUUAUUUUUUAAGAGGGUAAAAUAUUAGCUUUUAAAAGUCGGGAAGAGAAAAUAAAAAAACGGGUAUUAAAAGAGAAAUUUUAUAUAAUUUAGCAUUUGUUUAUAUUCCAUAUUUGGAUUAGUAUUUGUGUACAAUUAUGGAUAUCUAUAUAACUUGAAGCAUUCUAUAUAUAUCCAUACUAGUACUAGUGAUUAAAUUGCAACAAAAGUAAUUUCUACACUAUAGAGAGUUUUAUUUCUUUCUUUCUUUUUAUUUUUUUUAGGCGAGUCUCUUAUUUUUUUGUUGUGUAAACGUGCACACUAACUAAAUAGUGGGUAGAUUUAUGCAUAUUAUUAGAAUCCUAAGUUUCUUUAAUAAGAUCUCAGGCCCUAUGUAUUCCGUGGAUCAACUAUAUAUGCUAAUUAUUUUCUCUUUAAAUGUGGACCAUUUUUUUUUUUUACAACAUAUAUAUCAUUUGUUGCAAUAAAGUUCUAUUUAUCACCCAGAUGUGCCUUACUACCCAUAUCAUCAUAACUUAUACAACUAAGUUUAAUUCGUCACGCUAAACGGGCGUAAAUGAAAAAAAUAUUUGUAUUUUUAUUUUUAUUUUUUCGAAGAUGCAGGUAAGCCUCCUAAGAUUUGAAUAUUGAUCAGUCUUUGCUUUGCUUCAAAUUCUAUUCAUUGUUAGCAAGAAAACACAUUUGCUUUCUUAUCUCUUUAGUCAUGUCAAACUGGAGAUAAUUUUUUGAGAAUUUUUCUUGUCAUAUAAUUAUAAAAAGCCCUAAUUAUUAUGGAUAUAGCUAUCACUUGAUUAUGGCACUUCAAAUUUAAGUUAAGAUUAACCCUCAACCAUGCCAAAGAAUAAAUUUAAAAUUAAUUUUAAAUUAACCAGUCCACACAAUUAGGAACAAAAAUUGGCAUACCUGAUUAUAUUAGUCCCAAAUUAUAAUGUUAUUACGCUGGAAUAAUUUUAUCUGCUCGAUCACUUGAUGGAAAAGCUUCUGAAGAAUUAACCGAAGAAAUCAAAAUUUUUUUACGUCUUUUUAAGUGUAGAGAUAGCUAGGUACUAAUUUUCAUUUGAUAUUACAAAGUAGAUCGGAUAGAAUAAGAUGAGUAACUGUGACAUCUCCAGAAUUUGGAAUAGUCCUCGAAUUCACUGCACGAGAAAAUUCUACAAAGCUGCCUCCGCAUGUCUGGACAAAUUUAUUCCCUGAUACCAACGUUGAAGUUCCUUUAAUUGAGGUGCGCUAUGCCAGCUUGCCAAAAGGAACUUAUGCGAAGCUUAAGCCCGAAGCAGUGGGCUUCUCCGACCUUCUUAACCAUAAAGCUAUCCUCGAAACCACUCUUCGCAAACAUGCGACCCUGUCGGAAGGCGAUGUUAUCACGGUCUAUUAUGGAGAACUGCAGUAUAAGUUAAGGGUUCUCGGGCUCAAACCUUCUUCUAGUGUUUCAAUUUUAGAAACAGAUAUUGAAGUCGAUAUAGAGGGAUCUGAUUCUGUUUUGGACAAUGAGAAUGAACGGCAUGUGCUCGUACCACUUGUAUUAGGAAAGGCUGAGUCGGGGAUCGUGGAAGAAGGAAAAUUCAAGUACUAUAAGUUUUCCAUUGAAGAGACUCUCAGUGAGAAAGUUUCUACUGGGCUAAUGAACAUAGUAGUCAAGUUUCCACUGAUAUUUCCGACACAACAUCGACAUGAAUGGUCAUCUCAUGAGAUGGGCUCGAAGAUUUUGAUACUUAACAGAAGGAUCAAAGCCUUGUAGCAGGUACCUACAGCAUUGGAGUUUUUGGCUUCAAGGGAGUUACGAAAUUCAACAUUUCUGUAGAAGUUAAGGAUAUUAACAAUAACAGGCAAGAGGUUGGAGAACAUUUGAAUGCCUCCUCUCAAGUUGAUUCCGAUUCAGUACAGUGCUGGAAUUGUCGGCGUUAUAUUCAGCAGGACCAUUGUAAUCCAUGAAGCAUACUGCAUCAGGCAUAAUUUGGUGUGCCAGCAUGAGGGGUGCGGAGUUGUUCUCAGGAAGCACAUGAAAGUUUUUCAUGAGCCACUCCAUUGCCCAUGUGGAGUAGUCCUCGAGAAGGAAGAAAUGGUAAGCGUAGUUUAUUAUAUAUCUAUUGAGAUUUUUCAUCUGCAUUUAUCAGUUUGUUUAUAUGGCUUUCAUUUAUGCUCUUUGUUUUUGAAAUUAUGUUUGAUAUUAUAUUAUGCAUUUUGUGUCUGUUACUGCAGAUACCUUUCUCUAACACUAAACAUUUCCUUGUUUGCUAUCUCAUGACAUGUUAUAUACUCCCAAAAUGUUAAUAGACAGAUUUUGAUAUUAAUAUUACCCGAUUAAAUCGGAGUACUUUUACAAUUCUACUUAGACUGGAAAAUGUCUACUAAUGUCACCUGCUUAGUUUGGUAAUCAAGGGUGUUCUAUUUUAUACAUACUAUUGAAAAAGAUCUGCUUUUGUAAGAAUGGAUUAUCUUCUACAGUAGAGGGCUCUAACUCUUUACUCUUUUCUUUGUGAUGGUAGGUCCAACACCAGUCCUCGAUCUGCCCGUUGCGGCUCAUAGUGUGCCGUUUCUGCAGAGACAUGGUCCAAGCCGGUACUGAACCGCUCGAUGCCCGCGACCGCCUCAGAGGGCUGUCCGAGCGCGAGAGCAUAUGCGGGUCGCGAACAUAUCCUUGUUUGCUAUCUCAUGACAUGUUAUAUACUCCCAAAAUGUUAAUAGACAGAUUUUAAUAUUAGUAUUACCCAAUGAAAUCCGAGUACUUUUACAAUUGUACUUAGAAUGGAAACCAUCUGCUUAGUUUGGUAAUAGAAGGUGUUCCAUUUGAUACGUAUUAUUAUAAGAGAGCUGCUUUUGUAAAAAUGGAUUUGGCAUGGCCUAACCUACAGUAGUAAGAGCCAACAUUGAACCUCAUCUAUCUUCUGCGGUGAAAGGCAUUAACUUUUUACUUCUUUCUUUGUGAUGGUAGGUCCAACACUAGUCCUUGACCUGCCCGCUGCGGCUCAUAGUGUGCCGUUUCUGCGGAGACAUGGUCCAAGCCAGGACUGAACCGCUCGAUGCUUGCGACCGCCUCAGAGGGCUCUCCGAGCAUGACAGCAUAUGCGGGUCGAGAACGGCGCCGUGUGGUUCUUGCGGCCAAUCCGUCAUGCUCAAGGAGAUGGACAUCCAUGUGAUCGCUGUGCAUCAGAAGAGCUGAUCUGCCGAAGCAUUUCAUACUUGUCAAAAUCAUCGUAUAAAUAGACUUCUCGGAGAUGGAUCGAACAGUAUGAUGUAUAAAACUAUUGUGCCAACUCGCCAAAAGUUUCUCUCCUGGGUACUCCGAAAAUUGGUACGUAGUGUGUUUCUCUUUUGUUGGUUUGACAUGUUGUCCCUCUAUUUAAAUCUUCCUGGGUAAUUUGAAAGGUGGUUCAUAGUGUGUUUUAUCUUUUGUUUCGGCGUGUUGUUCCUCGUUUUGUUUAUGUUCCGCAUUACAUGUUGAAAAAAAUAAUAGAAGGAAAAAACAAAUUGUGCUCGACAAAACUUGGAUGGAAUUUGAUAUUUCAAUGAUGUUAUAUUUUCUAAAAUUGUACUGUUCUAUAUGAAUUUGUCUCAGGUUAUUGAUAUAGAGUUUUAGAAUUUUGUCUUCCUGAUCUUAAUGUAAUAUAUAUAGUGUACUUUGGCCUUGGUUUAUUUGAUCGGACUCGAAUGCUAAUAUGGAAGAAAUUCUAAACAUGGGUAUAAGUUACACAAAAAAAAAAACCCAAAAAGAAAUCGUAAAUUUUAUGCAAACAAUUGAAUGCAAAUAUUCUACUGGUCCAUUUUAUUUUUGAGCAAUACUAUUUGUACACUGGAAAGUUGGGUUUAUCUACGAACCAAUUUUCUCAUGUUAGUCGUAAGUCAAUUAACGUGCACAAGGUGUAAUUGUCAGUGCGUCAUCAGCUUUAGAAGAGAUUUAGCUCCGUGUCCAAUCUCGUCUUGGUGAUUAGAAUUUGGUGUAUAUUUUCUUAUCUCGAUUUAGAUCCGUACUUAUAAUUUAUUUAUAACAAAAAUAACACCCUAUACUAAUUUCUCUUGCUUUUUAUUUCCCGCUACUACACUAUCUUUUUCACUCAUGUUUAUUUCUCUUAAUAAUUAUUUGUUUUGUAUAGAAUUGCAUAGUAAAUAAAUGAUUAUUAUGCACAUAAUGAUCUCGUGUCUCUUGAGAUCUCAGACUAUCUUUAUGCUGUGGGAUGUGCUUAAUUAUUUUUCCCUUUAUAAUUGAACUAUUCAUUUCCAACAUACAAUAUGUUCAAACGAAUUGUUCAAACUAAUUAUUGAUUUUAACUCGUCAGGCCAAACGAUCCCUAAAAUUUUUUAUUUUUAUUAGCUAAAUUAUAGAAAACUUUUCUAUAAAGCCAAGUUUUUUUCUUUUUCUUUCUAACUUUCAAAAAUCUAUAUAUUGUUUUUUUAAAAUUUCAAAAAUAUUUUCGGGAGAUAUGACAUUAAUGGAGACGACAAAAUAAUUAAAUUAUUUUUAUUUUUUAUAAAAAAUAAUUUUUUAAUAUAUUUUUAUUAUUUCGUAGGGUAUUUUCAAUAUAAAUUAUAAAAAAUUAAUAAAAUAGUGAUGGAAUCCUGACGUUGGGGGCUAAAGAUAACAAUUUUGUAUAUAAGGAGAUUUUCUAAAUGCAACAACUUGAAAUAUUAAGAGGGCAAAGUUUAGGUUUUUAAAAGUUAGGAAAGAAAAGUGAAAAUAAUGAAUAUUUAUAAGAAGGUUUUUUGUAAUUUGACAUUUUUAUUUUUAUUUUUAUUUUUUUUAUUUUUUAUGAAGGUGCCCAUAAGCCUUCUAAAAUAUAAAUAUAUAAAUAUUGACUAGUCUUUAGAUAAAAGUCUAUUCUUUGCGAGGAAAAAAUAAAAAGGUGAAAAUUUUUUGGAAUCUCUUUUAGUUAUUCCAAACAGAUUGUAUGAUAUAAUUGUGAUAAAUCAAAUUUAAGUUAAAAUUAACCCUGAAUCAUGUUGUAGAAUAAAGUUAUAAUUAAUUAUUAAAUUAAUCACACCACAUAAUUAGGAACAAACGUAUCCUCCUCUUUUGAUAGAAAACAUUUUCAGAAUUAAGGGAAGAGAAUCAGAUUCGUUACAUAUUCGAACUACUCUUUGAUUUUUUUUUUUUUUUUGGAUAACUAUAAAUAAAGUAGGAUUGGCCCAAUAAUUUUAUCUAUCUAUAUCUACAUUAAUCCAUAUUCAAAUUUAAUUCAAUUAGUAGCAAAUGAAUCAUAUAUUAUAUAUUGUAAUAUUAUAGGCACGAUGCGAAGCAGUGGUUUAUUAGAAACAAUUAAUAUGUUUCUUAAAUCAAUUUGUCUAUGAGAAAAGGUCAAGAGAGAGACUUUGAUUUUCGUUUCAACAAUUAUGAUGAUAUGAUAUGAGUUGCAUAUGCAAAUUAAAAUUAAUUGGCCAACAAGUUGGUCAUCAUUAUUUCAAUAUAAUCGACCCCUCUUAUUUGCUAAAUACUAUUUAAUUGAGAGCUUAAUUAAUUCCCUCCUCUGGCCGUACAUCUUAUAUGUAAUGAAUGUGUCGAAUGUAGAGACUAAUUAGAUCUCACAGUCCAAUUAGAUUCUUAAUUAAACUCUAUUUAUGUUUUAAUAAAACUAAAUCUCAUCUUAUCCUAACUAAAGUAGAAUUUGACUUUAAUUUAAAUAACUAUAAAUUUAAACCGAAAUCUAACAAUAGAUUUUCUCACUAAUAUGUUAAACAACAAUUAAUAUUUGUGAAACUACCUCUUCUAUUUACUCUAUUCUUAUCUUGUUAUAUCAAGUCCUAUUUAUCUAGGAUUAACUCAACCUUGUUAAGAACUGAAAUUUGCUUUUAUCCUUUCAGACAUUAUGCCAAAGCUUUUUCUUUAAAAAUUUUUUUAAUCUUUUCAAUAAGGGUAAAAUAUAGGAAACUCUAUGUUAAUACUUGUUUUUUCACUUCCUCCACUGGCUUUUAAAAAUCUUUGGGCGUGUUUGGUUCGCCCAUUUUUUACUCUCGAAUCGAAAUCGAAAUGGACGAAUCCGUUUGUCCGUCUUUGGUACGCGGGAUUCCCAUUCCAAUUUUGAUUUCCGGGUGAGUGAGAAUCCCCCAAAUUAUCCUUUUUUCCAAUCCAAGAGGCCGAAUUGAAAAUUAAAUUCGGAGGGAAUGAAUUUAUUCGGAUUAAAUUUAAUUUUUUUAAAGGUUAUUUUUUAAUUAAAACAUAAAUUUAAGUUUAAAAGUUAUAUUUAUAAAUUUUAAUUUUAAUUUGUACUUAAAUUAAAAUUAAAAUUCAAUCAAGCAUUUCGAAUCUAAUUUACAAAUUUGAAUUUAAAUUUAAAUUAAUUUUUAAUCUAAAGUUUUAUUCAAAUUUUAUUUAAAAUUUAAAUUAAAUUUAUGGAUUCAAAUUGAAAUUAUAAAUUUAAGUUUGAAUUUGAAUAAAUCAAAAUUUAGUUUUAUGUUUUGAAUUAUCCGUUCAAUUUCAAAUUUUAAUUUUUUUAUAAAAUAUAUUUAAAAUUUUAACAUCAUUUUAAAAUUUCGACGUAAAUUUUUAAUAUUUAAUUUUCACUUUGAAUUUAAAUUAAUAUAUUAUAAAGAUAAAAUUGACAUAUUAAUUUGAUUAUAUUUCUAAUAUCUAUCUAAACCAAAUACUUAUAAUGGCAAUGGUUCAUUCCCAUUCCGUUUAAGAUGGUGAACCAAACAGCAUGAGAUAAUGAAUCAUUCCGAUUCCAUUUCCAGUUUAUUCUCAUUUCGAUUCCGAUAUCGAGUCCAACUUCGAACCAAACACACCCUAUAUUUUAUCUUCUCAAAAUUUCAAGUUGAUGGGUUUAAACUGUCAUGCCCCGGAUAACUCGUUCCCCGGGCACGCCGACAAAUCCGCCGUAUACAAAGGAAUUUUUCCAAUAUACGAAGCGUAGCUGUAUCUGUAAAACAUACAAUACUACAAAAACAGUAGUAUAGAGCUGCUAUGAAACUAAACAGGUAGAACAAAAAACAGGUUCCAUAUACAUACAUAAUAUCAGGGUAUAAAAAGUACUCACUCUAGCGAGUUAAAACAUCUGUAUGUACAUGAACUCAAAAAGAUAAAGUAUCAUUACCUGCAGCACAGGAUCCUCUAUCUCGGCAACUCGUCGGGUAGGGCUCUAGCUCGCAACGCCCUUGCCAUGAUCAGCCUCAGAAGGUGCAGCAGCCGGAACCGAUGGCUCUGCAAAAGAAAGGUAACAAAUGGGCGUGAGAACUACUGUAAAAACAAGUAGUCCUCAGUGGGUGCCGCCCUCAACAUCAUCGGUCCACCCACUAAGUCUACAAAAGCAAGAAAGCUAGUAGGAAAAAGCUGGAAAGAAAUCUACAGCUACAUGUUGCUACAUUAGCAUGCUCUACCUUACCAACUGUAGUAAAAGUCACUAACUAUAUCACCCGGGCUGCCCAACCGGGCCCACCCUGCCUGUAUCCAACUACGCCGUACACCACCCCGAGAGUGGCCGGCUCAAAAACUGUCCAACAGAAACUGUGACACUCAUCGCACUGAAACCUCAUUCCGGAAUGGCAUUCGCGGGUGCGACCCACGAGUUACAAGUGUCUCUGUCAUUCAUUCUGGCUCUCACAGGUUCGGCCAAGUAAAUAGGGUCUAACUCGACUACCAACCAACUAGUCACGUGCCCUCGGCACAAUCUGAUACCAAAAUGACAAAUCUAGGUCCGCCGUCAACCACUACGGCACCCACUGGUCCGGAACAAUGUAAACACUACUCUAAAAAUAGGCUCGGCAUCCCAGCACGAGCGUAACAGUAAUCUGAACUACCUGGGGUACUCACCACAAGAAUACUGCAACAGUAUAAAAAUACAGCGGCUCCUAGAGCUAAAUUAGAUAGUUUAACAUAUGACAGGUCCCAAACGCUGGUUUUCUCCUAUAUCAAAUUCCAGUCCAACAUUUAUAAUUAAUAAUAACUAAUAACAUGCUCCAAAUUCACUUUAUAUGUCUAAAACAUGCAUACCCAUGGAUUUGAGCUAAACAAUAGUAACGUGCAACACCAACGAUACAUGUCGACUAAUAAAGCUAUAGGAGAAGGAAUCCGAUGAUAAACCCACCUCAAACGCAAAUCUCAAUCCAGCGCGACAUGAAGUGCGUCGCGCCGGAUUGUGUACGAGGGAUGCACGUACGAGUAGGAUUUGGUCGCUACGCCUGCCCCUAAAAGUGAAAGUGUUUUGUUGGCUUCUGCUUAAAAAGAGGCUGCUUACAGCUGACAAUUUGGUUAAGAGGGGAUGGACCGGCAACUCGAAGUGCAUGCUUUGCGGAUUGGAAGAGGAAACGGUCGACCACUUAUUCACACAGUGCAUAAUUACCAGAUUUCUUGUGGUAACGACCUAGGAGGAAGUCCAAUUAGGAGAUCUAGGUGAGGAAGUGCGUCAAGUCUGGGAUAGAUGGGUAGGAAGAACGAGAACACAUCCGACCGCAACCGGUCUUAUAGGAAUUAUAGCCUGCUGGUGGGUCUCUUGGGAAUCUAGGAAUAAAGCGACCUUCGGAACGACACAGAGCGACCCAUCAGUCGAUAUUUAUAAGAUUAAGCAGUUGACAGACCUAUGGAGGAAACUUAGUCCAGUAGAGUGACCGUACUUUUUUUUUUUUUUUUUCGCCUUUCGUCGAGGCCUUGCUGCCUCAUCCAUGUAGCUUAAUUCACUUACUGAAUGAAUGAAGCGGGUAGUGUGCUACCUUUUUCUCAAAAAAAAAAACAAUCCGACGCGACAUCGAAAACGGCGGAAUUGAACCCUCGCCCGGCCUCCUCGUGAUAUUACGACGACGAACACACGCUCGAACGGCACCGCGGCGCGACGUCGACGACACUCCACACCACCCGAGCUCCUCCUCUAUGUAUAGCUCAAGAACUAGAGAGAGAGAGUAAAUAAAAAAAAAAAAGUAUACCUCAGUUAAACUAAAUUGAUAAGGAUGCAUGAGGUUACUACAUAAACGCCUAGUCUACCAACUCAAAAACAACAAAAAAAUUAAAGAAUAAAAAAAAAUUAAGGAUACUACAUAAACGCCCUUCGUCAGGGUUCCGUCACUACUAUUCUGUUCAUUUCUUAUAAUUUAUACUGAAGAUACCUUUAAAUUGUUAGAAAAGAAAAUUUAAUCUUAGAAAGUAAAAAAUAUGGAUAUUUAUAAGGGAAGGCUUUUUUAUUUUAGUCAAUAAAUAAAGUUUUAAGGCUGCGUUUGGUUCGGGAAUAUCGAAUUAGGGGAUAAAAUAUUUAAUUCCAGUGUUAUGGUGUUAUUCUGGAAUAGUCAGGAAUAAAACAAAAAAAUGUUUGGUUAGUUAAAGUGUUAUUUUUGAGAAUAGCUGAAAGUGUGUUUGGUUAAUUUUAUGGAAUAACCAAGAAUAAAAAAAAAAGUGAUGAGUAUAUUUUUAAAAGGAUUAUUUGCAUACACGUCCCUACAAACAUAGUGAAUUGCGGAAAUAUCCCUGCAAAACGGAAACUCCAUAAGNACGUCCCUACAAACAUAGUGAAUUGCGGAAAUAUCCCUGCAAAACGGAAACUCCAUAAGUUGUCCCUGCAAAAGUCCUAAAUUAUGCAGAUAUGUCCCUGCCGUCCAGAUCUGUUAGAAAAUUUUCGUUAACCACGGUUAAAAUACUUAACCAUGGUUAAGUAUAGUGUAAAUUGACGUAUUUACCCUUCUUCCUCUUCCUCCUCUUCCUCUUCCUCUUCCUCGUCGCCGACGAGGAGAUGCGGCAGCGACGGUGGCGACGGUGGCGAACCCUCUUCCUUUUCCUCUUCCAUCUUCCUCUUUUCCCUUCUUCUUCCUUCUUCCUUCUUCCUCUUCCUUCUUCCUCUUCCCUCUUCUUCGUCACCGACGAGGGAGAAGAAUCUCGUCGGGGUCGGUCUCAGAGGAAAGGCGGGCGAGUUUCUGGACGAGAAGCUCGAGGGCGUUGUUGUCGACGAGGGCAGCGACGAGGGCGUGUGCGGGGUCGUCGUGGUCACCGAGGACGUCGGCGUCGGUGAGGUCGGUGAGGAGGGAGACGACGUCGCCGGCGAUGUCGGCGAUGUCGUGGCCGAGGAGGCCGACGAGGGAGGGGACGAUGUUGAGGGCGACGAGCUCCGGGUAGUGCUCCGGUGCUCGGCGUUCUUCCCUCUUCUUCGUCGCCGGCGAACCUGACCCCGCGCCGCCGCCACCGUCGUCUGCUUCGACGGUCCGAAAAGGAAAAGAAAGAGAAGGGGAAUAGGAAAACUUUUGGAGGGAUAUAUUUGUAAGGGUAAAAUGGUCAUUUCACGAGUUCGCUGUUAAAAAACAAACAGCUCACUAACAGAUGUUAACUGCAGGGACAUAUCUGCAUAACUUGGGACUUUUGCAGGGACAACUUAUCGAGUUUCGAUUUUGCAGGGAUAUAUCCGCAAUUGGCUAUGUUUGCAGGGACGUGUAUGCAUUUGACCCUUUUUAAAAAUACCAACUUUGCCCUUUGCAUCCUUCCAUAUAUAAGCAGGGCGAUCCUUUUAGCAAGGCUAAUUACAAUAAAGGUGCAUUACACACACAAUUUUACUUUAGAUUGGAUUUAAUUCAAAUUGUGACAAUAUUUGCAUAGUAGAUAAUUAAUCUAGCAAACUUUAGAAAAUUAAUUCAGUACUUAAUUAUACCAAAGUGCUUAAAUCUACUAUAAAUUUUACAAUUACAUAAAACUCAACAUUAUAACAUAACACAAUGCUAAGUAUAAUUUAUAAUAUACAUAUGGAUCGCAAGCAAGCAAGAACAUAGGUAGUUAAUUCGGAUAUGGUAAAAAUUCGGUACGGAUAAAAUACGAAUAAAAUUUGUAUUUAAAUUUUUAAAUUCGUUAAAAAUUACAGUUUAAAAAUCGGAUUCGUCAAUCAUUCGUAUACGCGAUUUAAACGAGAAUUUUAUGUUUAUUAUUUAAAAAUUCGGAGCAAAAAUUCAUCUGUGAAAUUAAAAUUUUAUUUUAGAUUUAUACUAUUAACAUAAAUAAUUAUAAUUCUUAUAAAUAUAAAAAUAAAAUUAUAUAUAUAUAUAUUUAUAUAUAUAUACACAUACACACGCACACACACACACGGUCCACGAGGCUGCACUCAGCCUCGUGGACCCCGCCAUUUUCCAACCGCACCGUUUCCAUGCGCCGCGAUUUUCGUCCUCCUCGCCAUUCCUCUUUUCUUCUUUUUCUGUAGCUCUGCCUUCAUUUUUUUCUUCAAAAUCAAACAGCAUCAUCAGAAUGCAGCCGCCCAAUCUUUUUUUUUUUUUUGUUGAGAAAUUUCGUCUUUCCACUGCCGCUCAAUCCGAAUUUUUCGAAAUAUAAUUCGGGGAAUCCGUUUUUAACGCGAAUACUCUGAGCAAAAAAAAGAAAACGCAAAGCAAAGAGGAGGAAGAAGGCGUCUCACACGAGAAGGCAGGGUAGCGGCGACGGAGUAAUGAGCCAGGAGGAAAAGUAGGUAUGGCGCAUCAACGAAGGAGGAGAUGUAUUUUCCAACCCUGUCCCUGGGAUAACCCNUCAUUUACUCUUUUCUAUAUUGUCUUUUCUUUUUCAUAGAUAACAGUUAUAAAAAUUUACAAUUAUAAGCACACUAUAAAUAUUGGCUAGAGUAGAGUGAAAAAUUUGUUAGGUUUUUGGUCAAUAAUAUUGUUUCUUUUCUUGCUUUCCCAAUUAGAUUACCUUAUUCUCCUUUUCUUUUUCUUUGUCAUGCAUUCAUAGUGUCCCAGUUUUUUAUUUUUUUAGCUAAUUCACAUCAUUAUCCUUCAUGGAAAAAGUAGAUUUAUCUGAUCAAAUUAAUAUAUUCAUUUGAUUAGAGAAUAAGAUAAUCAAUUAAAAACUUAGUGUAAGUUAAUCAAUUGGUUUUUUUUCUUUAUAUUUUUCUAUUAAUUUUUAAUACACAAUUAAUGCCACCAAGAUUUGAUAUGUUCAUCUAUAGAUAAUUUAUUAUUACACAUAUAUGAUAUAGUACAUAUUUUUAUAUAGGCAGAAAAUAAUCCCCCGUAUCAUAUUUGAUACACUUAGGGUCCGUUUGGAUUGGGUAUAAAUUAAAAUUUUUAAAUUUGCUAAAAUACUACAAAUUAUUUAUUAAAAUUUGUAUAAAUUAAAAUAUUUAAAUUUGAUAAAAUAUUAUUUACCCGCCGCAAAGCGCGGGCCCUAAACUAGUAGAAGUUGAAGUUUCGAUAACUUGAUUUGGAGAAAAAAAAAACUAAAAAUUUUAUGAAGUAAAUGAAAUUUCAGGAAAAAUUAGGCGACUAAUAAUGUAUUAGACUCAAUUAUAUGCAAUUACUUGUAGAUGUGUACGACACAUAUACUUAAAUACAUCAUAUUGAUAUUCACUUUCAUAUGCGUGUACAUAUUAUUUAAUUGCUCUCUCCCUCUUCCUCUAUCCUGCACUUAAUUCUUAUCUUUAAGCCAAUUUAAAUCUUGGGUUAGUUGACUUUUAAUAAGUAUAAAGCAAACCAAAUUUUAAUUUCUUUUCAUCUUAUUUCAUUUUCGUGUGAACAUGGUGGAAUCAAAUUUUAUAUUAUCGGUAGCACGGAGGCCUCUGUGCUAUUAAGUUAUUUUUUAAUGAUGCGGCUUUUAAAUCAACGAUCGGCUCCAGUAAACUUGAUCUACACUAUUGAAAGUAUUUGGAAACUAAAUUUCAUAACUUUUUAACAUUAUUUGGCUAGUAUCCUUAAUGAUCUUUCAUGGUAUAUAUUGAUCAUCGAUUUAGAUGCUCAAUCAUCAACAAUAAAGUGAAAAUACUACAUGAGGCCAAAUUAUUCUACCUUAAUUAUUAUCUCUUGUUAUUUUGUUUCCAAAGAUCAAGUGAAUCCAAACAACAUAUAUAUUAAUGGGAAAACUUCAAAAACCCCCCUUGUGGUUUCAAUUUUUUUCACUUUAGUAUCCUGUGGUUUAAAAUGUAUCAAGUUAGUACCCUGUGGUUUCUCACUUUAUCACUUUAGUACCCUGUGGUUUAAAGUGUAUCAAGUUAGUACCCUGUGGUUUUGUACUUUAUCACUUUAGUACCCUGUGGUUUUAAUUUGUAUCAAGUUAGUACCCUGUGGUUUUUUAAAUCACAGGGUACUAAAGUGGUAAAGUGUGAAACCACAGGUCCACAGGAUACUAAAGUGAUAAAGUGCAAAACCACAGGGUACUAAAGUGAUAAAGUGAGAAACUACAGGGUACUAACUUGAUAAACUUUAAACCACAGGGUACUAAAAUGAAAAAGUGUGAAGCCACAGGGAGGGUUUUUGAAGUUUUUCCAUUAUUAAUCAACAAAGACAUACUACAGUAUACUCCUUGUACCCUUUUGCAGAAUCAACCACUUGAUAGCAAAGAAAAUAAAAAUUAAUUAAAAAGAGUAGGGGAAGAAGAAGAACAACAACUAACCACAGAUCCAGAAAGGAGAUUGAAGAGGGAGCUGCUCCAAAAUAAUUAAUAUCACAUUUAACUAGAGAAAAUGCUGCAACCAGAGAAGCUCUGGAAGUAGAUGUUUUAGGGAUUGAGGAGUUGGAGAUGAGGAUGAACUAUAUACAUUAUUUAUAAACAAGAAACUGGGAGCAAGUGCAGCAACCAAAAAACUUCUUAUUGACUUUUCCCAUCAGCACUUGGUUGUAGUGUCGCAAUCAAGUCAUUAUUUUAUGUAAUAUUUUCAUAAUUUUUGAAAACGAAAAGUCCUCCUAUACAAAAUAUACUCUGAUGAGAGGAUCAUCUGAUUAAACCAAAUUUUAUCGAAAUUGGAGAUUUGCGCACGAAAUUAUGAAUUUCCAAAGUCAUUAAUUACUACGUGCACGGAAUUUAUAUUAAUUAUCAACAAAAUUAUUAGAUCUUAAUUUUAAAAUAUUGAUUACCAAAUAUUAUUUACAAUUUAUAUACACAUAUACACAUAUAUAUAUAUAGAAGUACACCAGGUGCAGGGAGUUAUGUUCAUAGUUGGUAGCAUCUCUGGGUUCCUGCGUGGAGACGACUCGCGUGGGUCGCGCGAGUCCUCUCCACGUCCCUUUUUUUUUUUUUUUUUUUUUUUUUUUUUUAUUUUUUUUUUUUUUUUUUUUUCUUUUUUUUUUUUUUUUUGAGCUGGAAUCUUUUACGGCAUUUGUCUUGAAAAGACUGGGUAUUAUUAUGUAACUGUUUGAAGAAACGUAGUUGCUUAUUAAUUUGAAAGAUUUUGUGGCGUUAAUGCUAAUGUUCAGAAUCCAAAACCCUCGAAACACAGAGAUUCGAUUAUUUAUUAGAUGGUUGUCAGAGGUAUACAGUGAUUUAAAAGGAACAAAAGAUCUCAACUCUUUAGGUCCUUUUUUUUUUUUUCAUUGAGGUUCGUCUUGCUCUAGUAUGCAAAAUGGAAUUCCAAGCUAAAGUAUAUAGAAUAUGCUUUUCCGGUUUUUGGAUAAAAUAUACUACAACUGACUUGUUGUGAUGUAUGUACGAAACAAAUAGUAUUCUUUUUAGUGCGCUUUUUUAACUGCUCCUAGCGCAUGCUUUUGACAAUUUCAAAUAAGGGUAUAACAAACUUUUUGUGCGUCCACCCAGCUUUGGACCCAAGAAAGAAUAAUGGUCUGCACACCUCAGAGUAUAUAUCCUGGUGUUUGGAGAAGUACUGUAACAAAUUAUUGUAAGCUGGACAUUGUGCGGUGCAUNNNNNNNNNNNNNNNNNNNNNNNNNNNNNNNNNNNNNNNNNNNNNNNNNNNNNNNNNNNNNNNNNNNNNNNNNNNNNNNNNNNNNNNNNNNUCGACACUACAACAGAAUUAGAUUAUAGGGACACAUAUUAGAGACACUUUUGUGUAAGUGUCUCAUUUAUACCAAAAUUUUUUAAAAAAUCUACUAAUGCCUAAAUAUAAAGCCCAAUCUAACAAAAAAUAAAAGUUUAUUCUACUCAACCCACCCCACCCAGCCCAUUCGGCCCGAUUACAAACAGAAAAGAAAAGAAAAAAAAAAUCGAUUACCAUCUCCCUUUCUCCCCUCAGUCAAUCCACUGAAAUUCUAAACGAAGAGCCCUUCCCUCUCCUCCUCCUCCGCCACCACAACCAACGAGGUAGAGUUCCGGCAGUUGCUAAAUGCUUAAAUAAGUAUUGGUAAAUUAGCAGCACUCUUUUUAGGUUAUAACGACACUCUUUAACUGUCACUAUAUACCUAGCGACCCCACAUAUAGCAAUACUUUUAAAAGUGUCGGUAAUUUAGCCAGCAGCACUUUUUUUGACCUAUACCGACAUUUAAAAGUAUCACUAUAGACCGUUUUUGUUGCAAUGCGACCAACACAGAGCGGUUGAGCGGGUACAGUGCAACGCGACAGAGCGCCUUGAGCCCGUCCUUGAUUGAGUGGGUGGGAGACCCGGAGGAGCGCGAGGAGGAAGGCGAGGAGGGGCCGCUUCAAAACGAUAAUUGGGCGGUAGGCCUCCGUCGCAAGGAGGCUGUAGAAUACAAUUUUCACUCAAACACUAUAACUUUGCUCAAAAAGUACAACUUUUGGUUCAAAAAAAUACAAUUUUUGUGUCAAAAAAAUGCAACAUUUGUCUCGACCUAUUGUAAUUUGGUUUAGAUUUGUAGUUACCUAAAUUGAAAUUAUAUUCUAAUCUAAUUAUAAUAAGAUAAGAUUUAAAUCGGAAAUAUAUGGAGCAAGCUUAAGUUGAAAUAGAUUAGAAUUGAGAUUCGGUAUAUAUAAUGAGUUGGCAACCUGCCAUUGGUCACGGCAAUAUUAAUUUGAGUCAGACUCAAAUUAAUUUGGCAGUAUCCUAUAUUGGAUGUGGCCUACGUGAUAUAUUCAAGGCGAUUUAUAAAGAUACAGUCAAUCUAUUUAAGUCAAUCUAUAAAGAUACAGUAGAUCUUACGGUUAGGGUUUAUCUGGAUACGUCCUUGAUGGACGGACGUGAUUUAAAAUCCUUACAUUAAGUUAUAUAUAAAUAUGUAACAUACGGGAGUCUCGGUCUGUGACGGCUCCAUCUCCGGAGAUAAGAAAAUUAGACUCGAAACGUCCCGCUACUUUGCAGAUCACGAACGAGGACGAACCACGAGCAAGGACCACCGUCAACAAUUCGGGUACAGAAAUCGAAAUCAUGACAAAAGAUGCGAUCUUAAUUUCUUAUAAAAUUUCAACAUCCUACUCCAAUUAAGGCUCUAGUAUAUAUUAUAUAUAGAGCAUUGAGGAGCCGGAACUUUAAUAAAUGCCAAGCAAUCCUCUAAUUAAUUAGCGUUCGGUGUUGUUGGUGUUUCCGUGCUGUUGGUGCUCGGCUGAGGAGACUUAUGAUGCUCAAUUAAUUAAGCCAACGAAGGUGCCGUAUUUUAUAUAUGGUGAGCCGAGCUGAAGGAUCUCAUUGUGCGGACGUGCUAAUUGGAGAUGCUGAAGGAUCUCAUUGUGCGGACGUGCUAAUUGGAGAUGCUAUAUGCAUAUGUGCGAUCAAUUAAAUACUUUAAUUGGGAUUUUAAUUUUAGAGAGAGAUCUUCUUUGUACUUCGCCUUUCGACAUAAAUAAAUUAUUUGCUCCGUCUUCGUCCGUGGACGUAGGCAGUUGGCCGAACCACGUAAAUAUCGGUGUGCUCUUUCCUCUUUUCUUUCCUUUUCCUGCAUUAAAUUAUUUUCUGGAUCUAUUUUUCGCCGUUCCGAUUUUAACACGAACAAUGUAAUUUUCUUGUGUGAAAUAAUACAAUUUUAUCUUAAUAGUGCAACUUGAUAUUUUUUUUCCUUCUUCUCUAAUUCUUGAACCUUUCCUGUAGCAGUGAUGAUACAUAAUGAUUUUUCAAAAAAACAAAAUUUCUUUUAUUUUUAUUCCUUUUUUUCUACUCUGUGCAUCUUUUUUCGCUUCUUGGAGAAGCCCGGGUGCAUCUUCGUUCUCACCAUCACGUGCGACAGCGAGCACCGCCUCAGCCACGAACUCAUCGCCUCCGUCUGCUCUGCCCACACCCGCACCCGCUCCAAGUCCUCCUCCUUCAGCGUCGGCGUCGAUGCUGGCACCUGCAUUGGCUGAGGCGGAGAAAGAGGAGGCGGCAAUGUCCUCCUUUCCGUCACCGAGAUUCGCAGAGACGGUGGAGGAGGUGUGACACCCCAAUAAUCCCACAUCAGAUGGGAAUGGGGUUAUGAUUGGGUUUAUAAGAGACUUAGACACUAAUAAUAAUAACUGGACUUAAGCAUUUUGGGCCGGGUCCCACUAGCAACAAUAACUCGUUGGGCCCAACCACCGGCCCAAAAUGCUUAAGCCCAGUUAUUAUUACUCUUAUAAACCCAAUGACAACCCCAAAUGCUUAAGCCCAGUUUUUAUUACUAGUGUCUAAGUCUUUUAUAAACCCAAUGACAACCCCAUUCCCAUCCGAUGUGGGAUUAUUGGAGUGUCACAGACUCCCCCCGUUAAGGCCCUAACCCCAUUCCCAUCCGAUGUGGGUCCCAUCCGAUGUGGGAUUAUUGGGGUGUCACAGACUCCUCCCGUUAAGGCCCUGACGUCACACACACAGCCCAAGAUCACGAGGCGAUGUGAGACUUGUCUCGCUAGCCCGUCAUCCAAACCCUGGCUCAGUCGAGACUCGCCACACAUGUCCAGCUGGUGAACCGGCUCUGAUACCAAAUGUAACGACCCAGCCCACUAGCAACAAUAACUCGUUGGGCCCAACCACCGGCCCAAAAUGUUUAAGCCCAAUUAUUAUUACUAGUGUCUAAGUCUCUUAUAAACCCAAUGACAACUCUAUUUCCAUCCGAUGUGGGAUUAUUAGGACCUCACAGGAGGCAAGGAGGCUCGGAGAGAAAAAAAAAAAGAAAAAAAAGAAAAAAAGAGAGAGAGAGAGAGGAAAAGGAAUAAAAAUAUUUUAAUUAGUUUUUUAAAAAUUCGAGCUGAAUUUGUAAAAUUCAAAAUAAUGACCCAUUUUUACAAAAUCUUGAAACUAAUAGAUUUUUUAUGCAAAAAGGCCAUUUAUUAUUAUUGAGAUUAGAUUUUAGAUAGAUAUUUUAGUAAUUUUAGAAUAAAUUUAAAACAUUUGAAUAGUAGUAAAAGGUAAAUAAUCAAAAGGAGCCCCUAUAAUUCCAUGGCAAUUUACUUAGAACUCACAGUCCAAUUGGAUUCUUAAUUAAACUCUAUUUAUUGUUUAGUAAAUCAAAAUCUCAUGUUAUAUAUCCUAAUUAAAUUAGAAUUUGGCUUUAAUUUAAAUAACUAUAAAUUUAAACCGAAAUCUACUAACAGAUUUUCUCACUAAUCUGUUAGGUAGCAAUAUUUGUGAAACUACCUCAUCUAUUUACUCUAUUCUUAUCUUGUUAUAACGUCAAGUCCUAUUUGUUUAGGAUUUACUCAACGGAGUUAAGAACUGACAUUUGCUUUUAUCUUUUUCUUCAAUUAUUUUUUUUAAUCUUUUUAAUAAGAGUAAAAUAUAGAAAACUCCAUGUAAAUACUUGUUUUUUAACUUCCUCCACCGACUUUAAAAAAAAUCUAUACUUUAUCUCUUCAAAAUUUCAAGUUGAUGCGUUUAAACCCCCUACAUUAAGGUUCCGUCACUAUUCCGUUCCUUUCUUAUAAUUUAUACUAAAAUAACCCUUAAAAUAUGCAAGUGUUAAUGUGGUUAGGUUUGUUAGAGACCCAAAGGAUGUGGCAAGCUCAAGGAGUGAGUCUUUGUCUAAUUCACUAUGCAAAUGUAAUCUUUGAAUUGGUAGAGGUAGGCACAGGAUGCCCAACUGCUGUAAUUUUUGCCCACAUUCACUCAUGAUACAUAAAGUACUAAGAUGGUUCAUCUUUGUGAUACUAUUCCACAAGUCUGCACAGUGAUGGGUUCUUACGCCCGUUAUUGAAAAUGUCCGCAACUCAGUCGAAGCUUCUACAUCCCGCACAAUCUUCCUAGUUGCACCAAUGUUUGCCAAACUAUGCAAGCCCUUCAAGCACUGUAUUCCCGCCAGUGCCUGGAUGUUAUUACUCGAAUUGUAGGACAAAACUAGAUGUCUCAACUUUUGAAGCUCUGUUAUUCCCUUUGGCAGCUUUUCUAUUUCACUUUCACCUAUAUCUAAUAUUUGCAAUUUUUGUAGCUUUCCUAUUGAUCUUGGAAGCUCCUUAAUUUUGAUUCCUCUCAAGCCAAGAUAAUGUAGAUUGAAUAAGUUACAGAUUUCGUUCGGUAGUUUCUCGAUUAGUGCUCCUUGUAGUUCCAAGACACGUAAAAAUUUUGAUGAUCUUAAGACCGACUUCAGUAAAUCAUAACUCAUGGACUUGUUGAAAACAAGUACUGAACGUGAAUGAGAUUUGUCUUCAGUACAAUAAUUCGUUAUAUUGCUUAGGAUUGACAAGCGGCGUGCUUUGGAUCUCUGCAAUUUUGUCCUUGAUUGCUCGUAAGCCAUGCAGAAACUUAACUCCUCUGACUCGGAAAGAGCGAGGACUCGAACGACGUCAUGCAUUCGACAUGCACAAACUCUACCGACUUCAUCCCUAUAUACCACUUGUAGUAGACAGCGAUGAACAAGUUCGUAAAGGUAGUCCUCGGCCACUUCCUCCAUCAUUAUUCCUCUUUCUUCAAUGAACCCUUCGGCCACCCAAAGCCAUAUGAGCUUGUCACUUUCAAUUCGAUAAUCUUCUGGAAAACUAGAACAAUAUAAGAAGCAAUUUCGAAGGUAAUGGGGAAGAUCGUCCAAACUAAGUUUCAAAAUGUCAUAUACUUUUUCAUGGACCUCCGAUUCGUUGUUAGUUAGAUACCACUCAAGAUCUUUGUAAACCUUCUCCCAUUCAAAACCAGUUUGUUCUCGAAAUGAUAAGAGACGGGCUAUAGAUACAAUAGCAAGGGGCAAGCCGCCGCACUUCUCGACGAUUUUUUUCACACAUUGUUCUAAAGGCGGCGGGCAAAUCCUGUUUGCACUUUUCCAAAAUGCAUUUUUACAAAACAAAUCCCACGAAUGAUCUACCUCUAGUGGCUUUAGCUCACACAUACAGUGCUCAUUAGCUAAUAGUGCUACUUUGUGAAUCCUUGUUGUAAGAAUUAUUCUGCUCUUGCUAUUACUAUUCAGAAGUGCAUCUUUUAUUUUAUCCAUUACAUUAGUACUCCAAACAUUAUCCAGAAUGAGUACAUACCUUUUAUACUGCAAAUAAGUGCGGGUAGUCUCAACCAAGCUUCUGUAAUCCAUGGUAUCAAUGUUGUUAGGUACUACUCUUUUCUCUCGAUCUUCUCUACAAAACUCUUUUAAGAUCUGUCUAAGCAAAUCAUCAGUAUUGUAAUUUUCAGAUACAACAACCCAGGCACAAGCGUCAAAGGUAGCUUUGAUGAUAUUGUACACAUGAGUAACAAGAGUUGUCUUCCCUAGACCACCCAUACCCAACACUGAGAUUAUCACGUGCUGUCGUUGCUGCUCAUCCUCAUCUUUUAACCAUCCGAGCAAUAAGUCCCUGUACUUGUCAAUACCCACGAUAUCAUCCUCCUUGACAAAAUGUGCUAAUUCUGCACGGCUUUUGCUACCGCCAACAGCUAUUAAAGGUCUUGCCUCAUUUUCCAUUCCUCUCGUAUCAUAUCGCUUCCUUCUUUCCAUAAUGUUUUGGAGCUUAAUUUUGAUCUCUUUAAGCCUCUUGCUAAGGUGAUGCCAGGUUUUUAUAUUUCUGCACCUCUUGAUUGCUAUGGGUAGAACCCCUCCUUGCUCCUCACCCAGUUUGUACGUGAACUCAUCUAUAAUAUCCUCAAUGUCGAAAGCCAAGUCUCUCGUUUGUUUUAUAAAGAUUUUUGUGCUCUCUUCCUUCUGUUUUAGUCUUUCUGCGAUCUGUAGGAAGGAUUGCAUGCUCUCAAGCUCAUCCUUAAUGUCACUUAUAUCCUCCAGGAGUUCUUUCAUUGCUGAUAUCCGUGUUAGUAAUAGUGAUGUUGCUGAUUUAGUUGCUUCACUAACUAAGGUUGCACGGAUAUUCAGGAGUAAUGAGCUUACCACAACCUCCGCCAUGGGCACUUCUUCCGAAUUGAGCCUAAAAUAAACAAUCUUUUCAAAUUACCAUGUCUUUUCAAAUGCACCACCAGUGAAAAUGAUUAUUUUUUAACGCUCUUAUGAUUCUAGGCAAUUUUCGUAAAAAAUAUGUAAUUGUUUCAUCCAGGAUAACUCUGUAGUGUACUAAACAAACAUUUGUUUGAAUCCUCUAUUAAAAGGAAGAUAACUAGUAACAACAUUGUAGUCUGUAAGAACAACAAGCAAUAACUUGUUUGAGAAUCAGUUUAACAAAUUUUUAAGAUAAAAGAUUCUUAAUAACUAAUCAUACUAAGCUCCCACAUGACCUCAUAUUUGUAAAGCAAGAUGUGGAAUAGUCCUUAAUUUAGAGGAUUAUGAAAUCAAUGAAGAGUUGGAAAGCAAAUGAAUCUACUGCCAGUCACUAAGUAGAGGGAAUUGUAUUAAGAGUGAUUGUACAUUAUUCUUAACAAUUAUAAUUAAGUCUAGUUUCCCUUGAAGGCCUCUUUUUGUUUAUAAUUAAGUUUAUAUCAGGACUAAAGUCAUUUGAGCAAGAAACUAUUAGUGCUUAUUCAAAUAGUUUUGUUUUGAUGGAAAUAUAAGAAAAUAAUUUUAGACGUGAACUCCCACAUUUCUAAUGUGUCAAAUUUUACUGCCUUGACAUUAAUUCAUGCUACCUAUUAUCAGACCAGAAUCUAAAAGUUCUAUUUUAACUUCUUUAAUUUGUGCUGCAAUUUGUAAGAUGUUGUAGAAGGUUGUUUCAUUGUACAUUAGCAAGUUUAAAUCCAAAGAAAAUCACUAUCAAUUAAUUGCGUACUCUAUAUGCUAUCCACUGUACACUUCUCAAUGAUAUUUAUAGUAUAAAACUAAGGAAUCAUAGUGGCUAUUGAUCUUGUUACCCAAAAGAUUGAUCUGAUAGUAAUCUAUUAAAGACUUAAGAUCUUUUACUCAUUUACAUUAGACUUAGGAUCUGAUCUUUUACUCAUUUACAUGUUAAAUAGCUUGCGAAUGAUGUCAAUACGUUGGUAGAAGAUGUAAAUAGAAGAGACAAAUAAACUAAAUUUAAAUGCCAUUAAACUGCAUAUAUUAGUUGAGCUUUUGAUAAUAAAUAAAAUUCUCUCAACUAUCUAGAUCAAUAUCUAUAACCAAGAUUAUGAAUUUAAGAUUUUUUUUUGAAAAAAAAUUGUAUUUAGAAGGUUGCUAAUUUUGACCAUUCGUAUUGUGCCCUCUUGGUGAUCUAGAAAAUAAAUUUUAAAUAUCACAAAACUCUUUUUCUAUAAAGUUUAUGUAUCUUUAAUGGGUAAAUUGCAUUGUUACCUCCUGAACUUUUGGCAAAGUUUCACUUUACCCCUCGAACUCCUAAAAUGGACAUUUAACCCCCUAAACUCUAAUAUUUCAUUCAUUUUACCCAUUUCGUCAGUUUUCCGUCAAGCUCCGUUAACCGGAAACUGACGAAAGGGGUAAAACGAAUGAAAUAUUAGAGUUUAGGGUGUUAGAUGUCUAUUUUAGGAGUUUGGGGGGUUAAGUGAAACUCGCCAAAAGUUUAGGAAGUAGUAGUGCAAUUUACUCCGUAGGGACUCUUGACUAUAAAUUAUUUUAUUAUAAUAUGUUACUUAUGGAUUGACUACUAAUCCUCAAGUUAGUGAUCGUGCUUGAUUUUGAAUUUAUAUAUAUUUUUUAUCCUAAAAUAAAUCAUACCAUAAUUUAUCCUACAUUUUAUUGUAAUAAAAUAAAAGUGAAAGAAAUGAAUUAGAGUGGCUUAAAGAUAAAAAAAGAGCGAUACUAACUACCUACGAUAUUCAAACACUCUACUAUCCCAACGUACUCGCUAAUAUGGUUGAUUUACAAUAGGUGUCCUCACUCGGAUAUAGAAAUUUUAAUUCUCAGUUAAUUUUCUGUAGUACUCGUUUGUCCCUUUUAUCUUUAGAAGUAUUGUUCUAUAAAAUACACUUAAAUAAAAUUUUUUUACUUCAUUUCAGCCAAUUAGAAAUUUUUAAUAUAAAAAUAUAAAAAUAAUUUAUAGUAAAAAUUUGGGUAAAUUGUAUUGUUACUCCCUGAACUUUUGGCGAGUUUCACUUAACCCCCAAACUCCUAAAAUAGACAUCUAACACCCUAAACUCUAAUAUUUCAUUCGUUUACCCCUUCCGUCAGUUUUCGGUUAACGGAGCUUGACGGAAAACUGACGGAAGGGGUAACAUGAACGAAAUAUUAGAGUUUAGGAGAGUUUAAGAGGUUAGAUGUCCAUUUUAGAAGUUUGAGGGAUAAAAUAAAACUUCGCCAAAAGUUCAGGAGGUAACAAUGCAAUUUACCCUAUCUUUAAUCAUCUUUCAUGGUAUUAAUCAUCGAUUUAGGUGCUCGAUCAUCAACAAUAAAGUGAAAGUAUAUAUAAGGCCAAAUGAUUCUACCUUAACUAUUAUCUAUUGUUAUUUUGUUACCAAAGAUCAAGUGAAUCCAAACAAUAUAUUAAUCAACAAAGACAUAUACUAUACUCUUUGUACCCUUUUGCAGAAUCAACUAGUUGAUAGCAAAGUAAAUAAAAGUUAAUUAAAAAGAAUAAGAAGAAGAAGAAGCACAACUAACCACAGAUCCAACCAGGAGAUUGAAGAGGGGGCUGCUCCAAAAUAAUCUCAAAUUUAACUAGAGAAAAUACUACAACCAAAUUAAGAAGCUCUUGCAGUAGAUGUUUUGGGGAUUGAGGAGUGAGAGAUGAGAAUGCACUAAAUAAACAAAUAACUGGGAGCAAGUGAUUUGGACACUGCAGCUGCUACCAAGAAACUUACUUUCCGCCUGACUUUUCCCAUCUGCAAUUAAUGGCCAGUGGGCCAUGAUGAAUUAUGCAUGGGAUAAAUGUUAGGAUUGCCAUAUAUUGUGGCCCAAUUAAUUAUAUUUAAAUUAGAAUUUGCUAUAGAUAAAGGUCAAUUCUAACAGAUAUAGAAUUACUUGAUAUGGUAUAUUUUUAUCUCUAUCUCAUCUAUUUUAAAUUUAAAUAGAAUUCUAAUCAUACUAUAAUGGGAAGUCGAUCUGGACUCUAUAUAAAGGGGUAUUGGUCCUGCCACCUUCUCAUACGCAUUCUGGUGAAGAAUUACUAUCGGUUUCACACCAUACGAUAGAGUGCCUGAGAUAGGAGGAGAAACCAAAUCACCCAAUUUCGAUUCGUGACUUCCAGUUCAUAGCUGGACUUCACGCUUCCACAGAUUGAUCAGGAAUUUCUUCUCGACGGCGCUCUGUGAGUUAUCUUAUUUUAUUUUGAUCCUGGAUUUGGUAUGUAUUUAAUUUCUGUCUUAUUUUACAUACCUAUAAAAUCUAUCAAUUGGUAUCAGAGACAAGAUUGCUAAAUUAAAUAUUGUAUGUAUUAUGUAAUUGGAUCAAAUUAUGAUUAAUUUUGAGUUUUCAUAAUAAAAGGUUUUACGGUUCUUGAUCCAAAUUAAGAUCACAUAAUAGUAUAAUUAUUUGUGUACGUAAGGAUUUACGUAGUGAUUUAUUUUUUGAAAUUUUAUAAAUUNAGGGGCAAUUGCCUAUAUACCCCUGAAAAGUUUCCGGUUUUCUUAUUUAUCCCUCUUAGAAGGCUAAUAUUGAAAAUACCCUUCUUAUAUUCCAAGUUUUUCUAAAGUGCCCCUGGAGUUAAGUUCCGUUAGUGAGCUGCCGUUAUCUCUGAAAAAUUACCAUUUUGCACAUUCCAAUAUACCCUUGUACCGUAACAAAUUUUUCUUAUAUACCCUUCAUAUAGCAAAUACUUUUCUUAUUUGCCCUUCAGCCGGAUCUGGAGCAGAGGGCGUGCAGGGGUCCGAUGGCGCUGCGGCCCUCUUGCUUCCGGCACCAGCCAAGGCAGCGGAGGAGGAGAAGGACGACGAGAUCGGUGAGAGAUGGGAUUGUCGCUGCGGCNGGUCCUGCUAAACAACAAAAUGACCUUAUCCUUAGUAGUUUAGUACUCCCUAUUAUCACCCAGACAGUUCAUGUCUUUGGCUUACGAGAAAUUAAAGAAGUUUAAGUUACUUGGCUCCAAGUUUCGAGGGUGAUUAACGUGGUAAGAGUUAUUUGGCACGAGAAAAUCAAAGACGUUAGAAAUAUCCUUCACUACCUGUCAUUUUAAAUAUGGGAAACCUGGAAAGACUUAUUGGUUAUUUUAUAGGACUAUACCAAGCUCCCAGGUUAAAGAAAUAAACACCUAGUAUAUUAAACUGGAGUCGAAUUGUUGGGGUACAUACUUUUAGAGAAUUUGACCCAAAGGAUGGACAGGUUUCGAGUUUUCCUUAGAAUCACUGUCGGAAUCAUCCCUGGGCUAAUUCUUAUAUGUCCCGACAAAACUCAAGGAGUGAGGUGUUACUAUAGCUUUCCCAUCUUAAUGACUAAUAUGAGGACUCGUAUAGUUAAUUACACGCCAAGGAAGAAAGUCGUUGUGAUAAGACUAGUCCACUAGGACCAUACCACAUGACACCUUGUUAAGGCAUGACGAGUUCUUUGAAUCGUUUUCCGGAUCCCUAAACCGGAAAUAGACAAACAGAUAGUUUUAUAAGUGGUGGGGACAGACUCGACUGAUGAAAAUAGGAAAAGAGCUCAACUAAGAGAUGAAGUCGGAAUAUACGGAAUUUCCGUAGAUUUCGAAGUCUAAAAAGAAAUUCGUUCAUCUCUAUCGGUAUAGCUCUCAUCAGUAGUCAUUUACACUAUUUUAUAAAUACCGGUUAUUAACUAUCUCCUUCUCCAGGCGUAUAUAGCCAUACUUAGUUGAGAUUACCAGGUAGUGUAGAAAAUCGUGGAAGUCUUCUCUAAAACCAGACGAAAGGGAAAUACGUCAGGUGUGUGUAAGGUUUCAGUCUCUUCCGGUUUAGUAGAUUUUACGGAAGAGAUUAAUAAGAAACCUAAGAGACAAAGCUCUACACAGGAUUGGAGAAUACGGUAUUGUACCUACUGGAAAGUAAUAAUUACGGUGCAAAACUAGGUUGUAAAAGCACGUACCAUUCUUCCUAAAGUGAUAUACUUUGUAGAUUUUUAUGAAAUAUAUCUAACAAAAAGUUUUGUGGUCUCGGUUGAUAGACUCUAAAUACCCUAUUUCUUUUUGAAAUAAUAAUUUUGAUUUUGAUAUAGGGUUAGAUUGUUCAAAGCUUUAUCUUUAAGUUAAAAAUCUUUUUAAACCUUGUAUUUUACAUAGUUGAUUUAGGUUUUACACUGGUCACCUUUCUUGAUUAGAUUUACAAGGAUGUUUAAGAUGAAAUCAACCUAAAGGAAGUCGACAUAUUUAUCAGCGAAGUGGAAAUGACCCAAAAUACGCUAAGACUUUAGGGAUGUGCCUUAAGCGGUGCACCGUAUACCGUGGUCUCAGUUAAGUGGUUCAUAAUCUGUAUUGUCUUUGAUUUACGUUGAGUAUGUAGUUUUGGUUUUUGAAUGGGAAGAAGACCUCGGUAAAGACUAUGAAAACCAUCAAGAAGAAGUAUACUGGGAAAAGAAAUGUUUUCUUCAUUAACCCUCAGGUUAAUGAACUAACCGGAACACUUGGUCUACCUUGAAAGAACAAAAAAAAGAAAAACUCAGUAAGAACGGGAAAGGUAAGAAUCAUGCGAAAUAAACAGAGAAGACUCUUUGUUUCAAUUGACGUAAAGCAAAGAGAACGUUAUUAUACGGAAAAAGAAUAUGUGUGUACCAAAUGUUAAGUAAUUAACUGAUCUCUAGACUUUAUUAAGCAUAAGUCUACCGUUUUUCAAGUUUUAUUUCACGUGAUUCUUACUUAGUCUCUACCCAUGUGGUUCACAUCACUCGACGCGACGUUAUAGAGCGUAAAGGUAUUAUAGGAGCACUUAGCUUGGUAAAGGUCUCAUGAAAUACCUUCUGUCAAAUAAGUAAUCCCACGAGCGGUUCUGAAAUGACCUCGAAUGUUUGACAACGAGGUGUUGUGAAUCCUUUAGCGCCCGACAGAGUGUGAGACCUUAACUUAAGGCUUAUAAAAUGGCUGUGCGCGAAAGUAAUCAUAAUUUGAUUCGACUAAUCUCGCGAGGGUGAAAAGAUUUUCACAACAAACUCAACCGUAUGGAAAUAGACAUGCUCCUCGUCCCAAUAGGAGAGAGUUUCGGUUUUGUUCUAGGUAUGUGGGAUUACAUUCGUACUGGACAAGAAAGGUGAGGCUUAUUAAUCUUGGUAAUUCGUAUCCUUGUCUUAGUGGUUAUCCUUGUUUCCUACUUCAGUAUUGACUUUAUUUUACGUACAAAAUAGUUAUUUUAUGGUGUAGUUUUUAAUGGUAUGGUUUUAAUCUUUUUAUAUGAAAUAUACUGUAGUGUCGGGGAAUAAACCCUCGUCUCAAUACUCGUAUUCAUAAAAAGCAAGGAAUACGUAUAUGAAAUAUACUGUAGUGUUGGGGAGGAAACCCUCGUCUCAAUACUCGUAUUUAUACGUUAGUAAGGAAUAAGUAUAUGAAAUAUACUGUAGUGUUAGGGAGGAAACUCUCGUCUCAAUACUCGUAUUUAUACGUUAGAGAAAUAGUUUUUAAUUAAAUUUGAAAGACGUCCAGCACUAUUAAAGUUUAAAAGAUAUACUUCUUUAACAGUCGAAACCGGUCUGUUUAAAGAGGUUUGCUCAAUAUUCUUCUAAUGGUAGGACGUGGUGGGUAUAUGGAAGUACAGAUCUGGAGGAAACCCUCGUCUGAUUUAUAUUAUAAUACCACGUUAAGACGUACGUGUAGAAAUUUCGUUAAUUAAAUAGAAAAGAAGGCCAGCCCCGGCGAAACCGAACGUAGGCUUGUCAACUUCGUUAUUUAAUUAGACUGAAUCAAGUCGUACUAAUUGUACUUUUAAUAGGCUUUCGUGAUGAAAUUUCAUUUAAUUUAAUAAUAAAGAAAAUUAAUCCUGGCGAAACCGAACGUGGAUUGAUUAGCUUUAUUAUUUAAUUAAGUUGAAUCGCGGUUUAUAAUUUAUUAGCUUUUGUUAAUACUAAUAAAUUAAAAGUACAAGUAGGCCAGUUUUAUUCUUAUAUCUACGCUAUUAAAUUUUACAUUAUAGCGUUAGUUUAAAUUUGAAAUAUAUAAGAUUAAACUGGUGUUUAUAUUCUAUUUAUUUAAAUACUAUUUAAUUUAUAACAUACAUUUUAAUUUAGGAAUACACUUGCCUAAGAGAUACAAGUGCUAUGAAAUUGUUUGUACUCCUAGUUUAAAACUACAUAUGUUUAAGAUUACUUAUUUUCUCCAAUAUAUUGGUGUCUCAGUUUGCCUAGGAAUUAAUUAAUUAAACGUUUUCCUCGGAACGUUAAUUAAUUAUUACGAACUCCAGGGUACGCCUUGGUUUCUUUUAAAACUUAAUCAGCCUGAGCUGGUAGAGGUUUUAUUAAGUGGUGUAGAGCCAAGUCUUUGUUCUUGGCCUGAGAUUCAAAUUACGUUGUAAUUUUAUUUCGUAUAUUUUAAUCUCGGUUAGAUAUUAACCGAUUAUAAUCAAAUUUUCUUCGGUUGAUUAAUUAUUUAUUUAGAACUGGUGAUAUGUAAAUGCUUCGGCGCGCCAGUUGUAUACAUUAUAAUUGGCUUAAAGGUUUCCCAAUUCCAAGUACAGUGUCGGCGUCAGCUCGUACGGAGUACACUAGUUCUUCCGAUAAGUUUGAAUUAAUCGGGUGUUUAAUUCUAGCGCAUUACACAUUAUUAAAUAUUUUAAAGUUUUUUAUUUAGUGAUGCAUUUAGGAAUGCAUGUGUUUAUUAAUAUGAUAAUACACUAGAAUUAAACCUAGUUCUUGGCAUUUUGGAAAAUAAUACUUUUGAGUUUUAAUUAGUAUUAAACUAGGUUAAUGUAUUAUGUAUGUUAUAAAUUAAAUCGUUAGAACAGAGACUAUGGUUAACUAUCUAAAAUAUCCAUACAUUUUAUUCUGUCUUUAAUUUAUGUAUGGUUUAGGUCCUAGUUUUAUUUUAUUCUAUUGAGUGUCUCGCGGCAGCUCUUCUUUAAGGACUAGUUAGACACCUUCGCACUUCAGGUCGAUACUUGACCUUCAGUGCUUAGCUUUAACCCACUAAACCAAAGAGGAGGAUAGAGUCCGUGAGAUAGCAUACCACACUUUGGCUAUCAUUAAGAAGUGGUCUUACGCAUACUCUUCCACCGUCCUGGUUAUGGGGAAAUAUAUCUCAGGUCUAGCUGAAGGGUAAUAUCAUACUAAUCUUAAGAUAAAUUUAAAUUUUAUCUACUCUAUCUCUAUUUUUAUAUGGUAUAGUUCAUUAAGAUAUAGACAAUCUUAACUGGAAAUAGAUAUCGUUUAAGAUUAAAUUUAUAUUAAUUAACCCGGUGUUAUAUACCGUUAGGAUUGUAAAUAGGGUACGUAUUAAGUAGUACCGGGUGACCGGUAAUUAACGUCUACCCUUUUCAGUCCGCCUUUCAUUCAAAGAACCAUCGUCGACGUCACAGGUUUAGUGAACGAGGGUCAAUAAACAAAUAAAUCACGUAAGAGUAGAGAGUGAGGAGUUAGGGGUUUUGUAGAUGACGUUCUCGAAGAAUUAAACCAACAUCAUAAAAGAGAUCAAUUUAAACUCUAAUAAAACCUCAAUCACAAAAUUAUUGUGAACCUAUCAUUGAUAAUUCACAUCAAGAUGUACAAGUUGAUAAUUUACAUCAAGAUGUACAAGUGAAUAAUCCACAUCAAGAUGUACAUGUGGAUAAUCAGAUAGAUUUAAGAAGAUCCUCAAGACAGAGAAAACCGGCUAUAUCCAGUGAUUUUAUUGUCUAUCUUUAUGAGAAUGACCAGAGUUUAAAUGAUCCUCUUAAUUUUUCCGAAGCCAUAAAUAGUAAUAAUUCUAUGGAAUGAUACAAUGCCAUGAAGGAUGAGAUUGAAUCCAUGAACCACAAUAAGGUAUGGGAUCUUGUUGAGUUACCUAUAAGAAUUAAACCCAUAGGAUGCAAGUGGGUUUAUAAAAUCAAAUGGAACUCCAAAGGUAACAUAGAGAGAUAUAAGGCCCGUCUUGUGGCAAAAUGAUUUACUCAGAAAGAAGUCAUUGACUAUAAAGAGACUUUCUCUCCAGUAUCUAGAAAGAAAUCUUUCCGUAUUAUUAUGGCUCUGGUUGCUCAUUUUGAUCUAGAGCUACAUCAGAUGGAUGUCAAAACUGUCUUUUUAAAUGAGGAUCUCUAUGAAGAGGUGUAUAUGAAUCAACCUGAAAGAUUCUGGCAAAAAGAAAAGGAGCACUUGGUAUGCAAAUUAAAGAAAUCAAUAUAUGGAUUAAAGCAGGCCUCCCGACAAUGGUAUUUAAAAUUUAAACAAACUAUUUUGACCUUUGGUUUUAAGAAAUAUAUUAUUGAUCAAUGUAUUUAUCUAAAGGUUAGUGGGGGUAAAAUAAUUUUCUUAGUCCUUUACGUUGAUUAUAUUUUGUUUGCCAGUAAUAAUCUUGGGCUAUUGCAUAAUAUUAAAGAAUUUUUUUUCCAAAAUUUUGAAAUGAAAGAUUUAGGCGAGGCCUCAUAUGUUCUUGGUAUUAAAAUCAAAGGGGAUAGACAUAAAGGGUUACUCGGUCAAUCUCAAAAGGCCUACAUAAAGAAAGUUUUGGAAAAUUUUGAAAUGCAUAAUUGUAAGCCCAGUGUUGCUCCUGUCCAGAAAGGAAAUAAGCUUAAUGAUUUUCAGUGUCCCAAGAACUAAUUGAACAGAUGAAAAGCAUACCCUAUGCCUCUCAGUUGGUAGUCUUAUGUAUGCACAAACGUGCACACGUCCGGAUAUUACUUUUGCCGUUGGAUUACUUGGCAAGUAUUAAAGUAAUCCAAGCAUUGAGCAUUUGGAAGGCUGCUAAAAAGGUAUUUGAAAGGAACUUUGGAUCAUAUUGCAUGUUACGAAACCACAUUACAGGCUAUUUGGCUUAGGAAUUUUAUCACAGACUUAAGAAUUGUGGACUGCGGUGUUUAUCCAAUAAAGAUUUUCUGUGAUAGUUCAGCUGCUGUUUCUUUUGCCAAUAACAACAAGAUUAUAGUAGGGUGUAAAUAUUUGGACACCAAAUAUCUUGUUGUGAGAGAGAAGAUAGAUGAAGGUUAUGUUACAAUUGAAUACAUCAGUACCAAAUGUAUGAUUGCAAACCCAAUGACCAAGAGGCCGGCACAUGGGUCAUAUACAGAUCGUGUUUGAAGUAUGGGUUUGAUUAGUUCUUUUGAUGUAUAAAUUUGUAACAUCUAUUUUUUUUCAAUAAAGUUUAAUGCAGCUGUGUUGGACCAUUUAAUGGACAUAAAGUUUUGUCUAUUAACAAAUGAACAUACAGUUUAAGUUCAUUCAUAAAGUUGUGCCAUAUAAAGUACUCGGCUAAGAGGUGAAGAUGAUACGGUAAUUAUAGAAGGAAAAUUUCGUUAUGAAGAGGUGGAUCGCCAUAGUUUCUAUCAUUAUAGUCUUUUAGUUUGAGCUAAAGAUCAAGUGAGUUCUAAAGUAUUUAAUCAUAAAGUUUUCAAUAAUGCGCAAUAAAGAUUGGAGUAUAGAAAAUCCGUUCAUGGAAUAUAAUUAAUAUGAGCCAAGUGGGAGAUUGUUAGGAUUUCCAUAUAUUGUGCCCAAUUAAUCAUAUUUAAAUUAGGAUUUGCUAUAGAUAAAGGUCAAUCCUAACAUAUAUAGAACUACUUGAUAUGGUAUAUUUUUAUCCCUAUCGCAUCUAUUUUAAAUUUAAAUAGAAUCCUAAUCAGACUUUGAUGGGAAGUCGAUCUGGACUCUAUAUAAAGGUGUAUUGAUCCUGCCACCUUCUCAUACGCAUUCUGGUGAAGAAUUACCAUCGAUUCCACACCAUACGGUAGAGUGCCUGAGAUAGGAGGAGAAACCAAAUCACCCAAGUUCGGUUCGUGACUUCCAAAUCAUAGCCGGACUUCACACUUCCACAGAUUGAUCAGGAAUUUCUUCUCGACGGCGCUCUGUGAGUUAUCUUAUUUUAUUUUGAUUCUGGAUUUUGGUAUGUAUUUAAUUUCUGCCUUAUUUUACAUACCUAUAAAAUCUAUCAAUAAAAACGUCCCAGCCUGCACAUCGAGCACAGAUCGAACGAGAGUAAUUAUAUGCUAUCACUACAUAUAAAUAAAACUUUUAUAUCUUAUUCAUCGCACGAUUAUUAUUUUCUCACGAGCUAACAUUAUUAAUUUUUUAUUUAAUAUUAAAAAAUAUCAGAUGGAUGGAUGGAUGGAUGUAAGAUUUAAAUAUCUUUUUGGUAUAGAAAACAGCCUAUUAUUAUUAUUACUUUUUAUAAAGUCAUGUAUCGCAGGUGAAGCGCGUGAUCGCGGCAAGCAUAUAUUAUUUUGAGCAGAUGUGGUUGUAAUCUUAGGAGAGUUGAUAUUGUAUAAGCAUGAAAUUAGAAUUUAAAAUGCUCUAAUGCUUUUUCAUAUUUAUUCUUGUAAGAUGUGCAGGCUGGCGUAUGCUACUGCUUCAUGUGGGCGAGGAAAACCUUGCAUGUUCAAUGGGUCUGUUGCACGCACCUAAGAGAGUCUUUUAGGGUAGGUCUUGGGGUGUGACACACUAUUUGAAUUUAAGUUGCACCGUAUGAGAAAUUGCACUUUAGUCUCAAAUAGUUUUAAAUUGCAUAACUUAAAUCUCAAACAGUGAAACUUAAAUUCAAAUAGUGCAAUUUUUAUUUAUAUAGUGCAAUUUAGUCUCAAAUUAUUUUAAAUACUAUAAUUUAAUCUGAAGCAGUGCAAUUUCGUUUCUUCUUCUAUUUUCUUUAUGUUUUGGCUUUUUUGGUAUCAAUUACGACACAUGAUGGCCUUUUUAGGAAAAGAAAAAUAUUUUUUUUUUAUUUUUUCUUCUUUUUCUUUCAUAUACUGUAAAUUUUUUGCUAUUGCACCUCCUUUCUUGCCCUCUGCAGUAGCCGCCGCCACGACAAAACAAUUAUUGUAUAGUGGUGACUAAAGUUGCCACCAAAUGUAUAAAAUAUCGCUGGUGGCAGAUCCAGCCGCCGUCACGACAAAACAAUUAUUGUAUACUCGUGACUAAAGUUGCCACCAAAUGUAUAAAAUAUCGCCAGGGGCAGAUCUAGAAAUUUUUUCUCAUACGAUUAAUAUAUAAGGAAGAAAAAAAAUAAAAAAACUAAAAAAAUGAAUUAGUCAUUAAAAUUAUAUAAAUAAAGUAUCAUUUCUUUUACAAUUAAUUGUCCUCGAUGCGACUUCAUAUUCCGAAAAAAAUGCAUAAUAGCCUCAUUGGAAACACUGUUAAGCAUAUUUUUUUUCUAUAUAAGCCAUCAAAGAAUCAUUCAUCAAUUGAUCACACAUAAAGUUACUUAAUUUAUUCUCUAUAAAGUUCAUCAUAGAAAAAACUAGCAAUUGGUAGAACUAAUGACAACUUCAAAAGUAAAUAAACUCGUGAAUACACUACAUGCUUUUUCGUCUCAACCAACUUUUGUGAAAUAUCACCAAUUCCUCUCAAGUUAUAAAAUCUUUUAUCUUGACGUACAUCUACAAUGAAGUUUCCAAGCUGGUGUUCAAGGAAGCAAGAGUUUUUUUUUUUUAAUUAAAAUCUUUUUUUAACUUUUUAAAACUGCUAAGGAAAAAAAAUAGCCGGUCACCGGACCCGCUAUAACUCUUUGUCUAAUAAGACUUUUUAUUGGACCCCACUUGGGAUCAAUUUGGACCCCAAAGUGAGGUCAACUAUGCUAAUUGGGCUCUUGCUACUGACAAAAAAGUGAAUCUGCCAUCGAAUAUCGCUACUUAAUGACUACAGCGGUGACGAAAAUUAUCGCCACAUGUUGUUUUAUCUUUGCCAUUAAUACUAUCUUUUCUUCUAGUGAGCCCCCGACCCGCCCCGACGUGCUCUUCUUGCCUGUUGUUUUUAAAUCUUGUGGCAGCUAGCAUUGUCGCUGUCAUUGUCAACGUGUAUGGCCAUGCUUUCUGCUGCAAUCUCACCUCCUCAUUUUGUGUCAUUAAUUUUCGAUCUGGAGUCAACGGACGUUGGCAAGGUAAGAGAGAGAAGCGCGCAUCAAUGUGUGAGCAGCGAAAUAGAGGUACAAUAGAGAGGAGAAAUAGAGGUACAAUAGAGAGGAGGUCGGAGAUGAACCGUGCAGAGAACGAGAGAGAGAGAAAGAGAGAGAGAGAGAGAGAGAGAGAAAUAAGAAUAUUUUAGUUUAUUAUAAAUCAAGGCCAAAUCAGCAAAUUCUAAAGAGGGUUUAUUUUUACAAAAUCGCAAAAUCUAUGAAUUUUUUAUACGAAACUGUUAUAUUUGGUUUAGAUUUGUAGUUAUCUAAAUUGGAGUUAAAUCCUAAUCUAAUUGGGAUUAUAUAUAAUUUAGAUUUAAUUUGGCAUAUAUGGAUUAUAAUUAGAAGUGUAAUUCUAAUUGAAUUAGAAUUAGACUCUAGUUAGGAGACAUGUUGUAGAAAGCAGACUUUUGUUACUUGUGUAGAUAUGAGAAAGAGGGUGGAAUUGAGGUGAAUUCGUUUUGAUGCUAAAUUGACGUGAAAACGGAUUAUUGGGGCCAAGGUGUUUCUACGAGGGACUAUUUUGCAAAUAGCCAAAGUGUGUGGGCUAGAGUGCAAAAUUAGGAGUGUUGAUCUUAUUCCCUCUCUCUCCCUCUCUCUGAUGAUCUUAUCCUCUCUCUCUCUCUCCCUCUCUCUGAUGUUGCUAACGAAAGGAAAAAGAAAAAGAGAAAGAAAGAAGUAGGAGUGGAAGAAGAAGAAGAAGAAUUGGAGGUGAGUUUUUUUGCUUCUCCUCUUUCCCUUUCCUUUCUUUCUUCCCUUCCUUUUUUCCUUUCUUUCUCUUCUCCUUUUCUUCUUCCUUUCCUUCCUCCCUCUUCUUCCCCUGCUGCUGCUACUGCAGCUUUGCUGCCCUGUGCUGCUGCGGGUACUGUAGCAGCAGCAGCAGGCUACUGCUGGCAGCAGCAGCAGCUGCUGCUGCAGGCUGCCCAGAAGCAGCAGCAAAUAGCUGCUGCUGCAGGGGCAGCAAGAAAAAGAAAAAAAAAAAAUGAAAGAAGAGGAAGAAGAAAAGGGAAGGAAAGAAAGAGAGAAAACGAGAGAGAAAAAUGGAGACGGAAUGAAAUGGUUACGAUUGAGCGUGCAACGGGCGUAAUUCUCAUAUUUAACUUCAAUUGAACCUUGCAGAGUGUCUAGGCGUAUGAGAGAGUCGUGACUCACGUCUGGCUAAUUGCAAUUGAAGGUAUUAGCGUUCAAUUUGCGUGAAUUGAGCUCGAUUGGAAAUCUCAAUUCUUUGAUUGUAAUUCGGAAUGUUUUGUCGUGUUUAGUGUUUUCGGGCAAUCGUGAGGUGAGGAAGGGUCGCGUGUAGCGCUUCUCUUGCCCGGGACAACGUAGCGAAUUGAGGUGGGUUCCGAGUUACCGAAAAUGGCGAAUUUCCUCUUAUGUCUAUUUUGGCACAAGUUAGAUACUCUCUAUCGAUCCUCAUAUGAAACUUGAAUUGCACAUAUAUCUAUUUUCUAUCGGUCCUCAUUUUGUGAAAAUUGAAACAUGAACAUGAAAUUUAGUAUUGAAACAUGAUUAGGAGCAUGAGUAUGAAUAUAAGCCUAGCUAUUGUGACUCGUUUAUAACAUUUGAAAGAUAUUACCUGAUUGUUAUUCCUCUCGUGCGUUGAUCAUACUAUAUGUAUCACAGGAUCUUUUUGGAUAUUUGAUAUUGAGUUGAGACAUGCGUCGACUAGCUCCUAUGGAUAGUAUGAGUAGUUUCUCGUGAUUAUGGAUUACAGCCUGCAGAUGCCAUCUUGAGUUGACAGGAUAUGUGAUAUGAUACUCGGUAGGGGUCGCUCCCCUCGAGUGCCGCUCCGGAUGCUGGCCAGUGAUAGUUGAGACAGUAGCCUAGGGGUGGCCGUCACACCUGCGGGAGUGUGUCCGCGCACUAGGCAGGCGCAGGCUUGACCGGACCUAUAAGUCGGUCAUGGCGAUUGGGUUUCAUGAUUGUAUUUCUUUAUUCUUAUAUAUUGAAAUGGCCAUAUAAAAGUAAUUUGACAUGUAAAUUUAGAAGUGUAUAACUGCAUAUGAUAUUCUAUCCUAUGUCUUCACUAGUAAUCUGUACAUUGCUUUCAUGUUUCCUUUAUGUAGCGAAUACCUAGAAUACUAUUUGACAGUAGUUGAGUUCUUGUUAGUUUUAUGCUUUUAGUUUAAUGUAUAUCGCUCUUUCAUUUACCUUUGCUCAUUUAGACCUAGUGGGAAGGUCAUUGUCGUCGCCGACCGUACCCACUGGGAACUGCUAUUAGUAGUUCUCACGCCCCCUUGUGGUCUCCUUUUUCAGUGACAGGUACAUCAUCAGUUGAGCGAGGUAAGGGGAUUGCGCCUAGUUAGCCAUCCUACCAGUAUACUUAUCUAUAGCGGACUUUCAGAUAGUGAGCCACUGUACUUUCUUUUGGACUGGCGUGGGCCAGGGCCAUUUACUUGUACUUGAUUUUGGGCGUGGAGUUGUGUAUCUUGUUACUAGUUUCAUGUUGUUCGGUGGUCAGCAUAUGUAUAGUGCUCUGCUACUCGUCUUUUGGCUUUUAAUGACUUUUCUUAAUACUUGUAAUGUGAACAAUGGUUUCUUUUAACUCUUGAAAACUGUUAGAUUAUCAUUGUCGCUUCGUUCGGAUAGGGGAAACUCUGUCCGUUCGGCGGGUCUGUUAGCGUGCCGCAGUCUUCCAUUGCGAACUCGGGGCGUGACACAUGUAUUAUAUAUACAUGCUACGGCCAAGUUAAUGACACCGCGACAAAUUAAGAGGCCACGCACUAAUUAAGACUAUUGGAGGGUACGAUUGUUGCCGGAGAGAACCGAGCUUCGUGUUAAUUUGGUGUUUCGGUGGCUGCAACAUCAUGAGCCAAGAGAGAGUUGGAGCUGUAAUUAAUUAAGUGAGCAUCUGAGGAGCCGUAUGACUAAUUAAGAUCAAGCUGUGGUACGUACGGGUGGUGAGAGAGAAGCCAAUUUUGGAGUCUCUUAUACGGCGCGCCUUUCAUUGUUUCGGAUCUAAUUAAGCUUUUGUUUAUUUGAGAGAUCUUCUUUGUACUCCGCCUUUCGACAUUAAUAAAGUAUUUGCUCCGUCUUCGCCCGUGGACGUAGGCCGUUAGCCGAACCACGUAAAUAUCGGUGUGCCCUUUCCUCUUUUCUUUUUCGUUUCCUGCAUUAAAUUAUUUUCUGGAUCUAUUUUUCGCCGUUCCGAUUUUAACAAACUGGUAUCAGAGCCUUUCUAUUCCCUUUAAGGAUUAAGAUGACGACGAAGUUCGAGAUUCAGAAAUUUGACAGGACCAACAGUUUCGCAUUAUGGCAAGUCAAGAUGCGUACUAUAUAUAUUGACGCAGCAAGGAUUGCAGAAGGCACUGUUGGGAAAAGAAAAGAUAUCUGAUUCUUUGACGGCGGAGCAGAAGGAGGAGAUUGAUGACAAGCUCUAAGGGCAAUACAAUUAUAUUUAUCCGAUGAGGUAUUGCGUGAGGUCUUGGAUGAAAAGACCGCUGCAGGGCUUUGGCUUAAAUUGGAGUCUCUCUACAUGCAUGACGAAGUCUCUCACCAACAAGUUAUAUUUGAAGCAACGUCUCUUCAUGUUGCGCAUGGCGGAAGGUACCUCUAUUAAGUCGCAUUUAGAUGAAUUUAAUUCUAUAUUAUGGAUCUCCGCUCGAUAGAUGUCAAAAUCUAGGAGGAAGAUGAAGCCCCUUUAUUCUUAUGUUCUCUACUGCCCUCUUAUAAGAAUUUUCGUGAGCCUUUCUUGUUUGGACGAGAUAUUCUAUGUCUUGAUGAUGUUAAAUUCUCUUUACUUUCAAAAGAGAGAAUUGACUUGCAGAUAAGCAACGAGACAGGUGGAGCUUCAGGACAAGGUUUGGUCGCUAGAGGGAGAUCUCGGGAGAAGGUUUCCGGUAAUAAGGUACAUCGAGAUCAAAGUCAAAACACAGAAAUCUGAUUUGUGGUUAUUGUAAGAAGAAAGGUCACAUAAAAGCUGAUUGUUUCAAGUUGAAAAAUAAAGAACAGCGCAAGAAUAACGGUGAUAAAAAUCAAGGUCAGAAAAACACCAAUACUGAAGCAGAAGCAAGUGUUGCAGCAGGAGAAUCAGAUAAAAAUGAUAUCGUCUUCACAGUUACGGAUAAGAUACGCAGACAGGAUGAGUGGCUUAUGGACUCCGCAUGUUCCUUCCAUAUCUGCACGCAUAGAGAAUGGUUCUCGACGUACAUGCCUAUUCAAGGUGGAGAUGUAUUGAUGGAAAAUCACUCUAAGUGUACAGUUAUUGGAAUUGACAUUGUUCGGGUACGAAUUUUCGAUGGAGUAGUGAGGACUAUAUCCGAGGUUCGGCAUGUUCCAGAUAUGAGAAAAAAUCUGAUCUCAUUGGGUAUACUUGAUACUAAAGGCUUUAAGUAUUCUUCCGCUGAUGGAUUAAUGAAGGUCGCUAAAGAGAAUCUUGUAGUGAUGAUUGCCAAGUUGUCCGACAUGUUAUAUGUUCUGCAAGGUUCCACUGUGACAGGUUCAACAGCGGUGAUUUCUUCCUCUAUGUCAGAUUCUGAUAGCACCAGAUUAUGGCAUAUGCGACUGGGCCAUAUAAGUGAAUAUGGUAUGAUGAAAUUGGGUGAGAGAGGUCUACUUGGUAGUCAGAGUUUAGAAAAGUUGGAUUUCUGCGAGCAUUGUGUUCUUGUCAAACAAAAGAGAGUCAGUUUUAAGGCCGCAGUUCACCGAACAAAAGGUACUCUGGACUAUAUUCAUUCUGAUCUUUGGGGACCUUCUCGUACUCCUCAUGGUGGUGCUAGAUAUAUGUUGACUUUUAUUGACGAUUAUUCUCGUAAAGUGUGGGCAAUCUUUCUGAAAAGUAAGGAUGAGGUGUUCAAUUAUUUCAAGCAUUGGAAGGUCAUGAUUGAGAAGCAAACUAAAAAGAAAAUCAAGAAAUUAAGGACUGACAAUGGUUUGGAAUUCUAUUCAUCGGAGUUUGAAGAAUUCUGCAAGAAGGAAGGGAUCGUUCGACAUAAGACCGUUAGGCAUACUCCACAGCAGAAUGGAGUGGUCGAACGGAUGAAUAGAACUCUUUUGGAGAGGGCCCGUUGUAUGCUCUCUAAUGCUGGCUUAGCGAAGAGUUUCUGGGCAGAGGCGAUCUCUACGGCAUGCUAUUAAAUUAUAAAUAUUAUUGAUUAAUCUUUAGCAAAAAGUAUUUUCUUUGUUAGGAAGAGAACACAAUUAUUUGUGAAGUUCUUUGUCAUAUAUAUAACUUUGGGGAAAAAUUUUUGGAAUCUCUUUUAGUCAUAUAAUUAUGAAUCGAUCAUAGUUGUUCCAAACAGAGCAUGUCAUAUAAUUGUGAUAUUCAAAUUUAAAUUAAAAUUAACCCUCAAUCAUGUCACAGGAUAAAAUUAUAAUUAGUUCUUUCAUCACUCCACAAAAUUAGGAACAAAAAUAUAGGCAAAACCUUAAUUAACAUUAUUACGCUGGAAGCCUAUCCGAUACUCCUUUUCUUAAUAGAAAAACUUUGCAGAAUUAAUAUGGAAGAAAUUAUGAUUCUGUUUGGUAAUGAAGAACAUAUCAGAUUGAAUAGAAUAAGAGAGAGAAGCAACACAACAGAUAGGGGGUGUAGCCAUGUAAUAAUUCUAUUUAUUGGAACUGUCAAAUAGUCGAACGCCUCCGAAAUGCUAAAUCUUAUUUAAUUGAGAGCCCUUACAUCUUAUAUAUAAUGCAUGGCUCCAAUGUAGAGUUUACUUAGAACUCAUAGUCCAAUUGGAUUCUUAAUUAAACUCUAUUUAUUUUUUAGUAAAUCAAAAUCUCAUGUUAUAUAUCCUAAUUAAAUUAGAAUUUGGCUUUAAUUUAAAUAACCAUAAAUUUAAACCGAAAUCUAACAAUAGAUUUUCUCACUAAUCUAUUAGACAGCCAUAUUUGUGAAACUACCUGUGGUAUCCCUGGACUACAGCGUUGAGGCUUGUCGACAGCUCUGGAGAGUGUCGGGGCAAGUCCGAGUCGCGUUGGCACGAAAUAGACGCAAAGCGGACUCAGUGGGAAUGCCAGAGCAAGAGUUAGCACUGCCAUCUGUAAAUAGCAGAUUUUUUUCUGCUUGCUGUACCGGUACAACCAUCAAGGCGUACCGGUACAUCUUGCUGUACCGGUACAACCAUCAGGGUGUACUGGUACACUGCGCUUGUUCCCGCGCAGACUGCUCUCGGGUUGCCAUUUGUACGGGUACAAAUGCGCGUGUACCGGUACACUAGGGUAGGUGAGAGGGCAUUUUGGUCUUUCCAUGCCUCGUACGUGUCACCCUUCUCCCCCAUCCCUAUUUACAGGUGUAGAGGAGCUGAGAGAGAGAUAUUUGCUGUUCUUCUUCUCCUCUCUCUCUCUCUAGCUUGGACAGUACGUGGAGUAGCUCGGGUGGAGUUGGAUCGUCGUCAACGUCGCGCCGCGGAGCCGUUCGAGCACGUGUGCACCGUAGUUGUUGCGUUGGGAGGCCGGGCGAGCGGGGUUGGUCGCUAUUUCGAUGUCGCGCCGGAUUGGGAGUAGCGUUUGAGGUGGGUUAAUCGUCGGUUUAUCUUCUAAGUGUACUUGUAUAGUCGGCAUGUGUUCGUUGUAGCGUGUUGCAUAUCGCAUUGCUUGAUUCACAGUUUUGGUAUGUUUAUCUUCGAAACCUGAAUUGGAGCUAGUAUUGGAUUAUAUUUAUACUUGCACAUGUUGGACUUGGACUUGACUUAGGAGAAAACCCGCGAAUAUAAUCCGUCAUAUGUUUACACUACCAGAUUUAGUUUUAGGAGCCGUUGUUAUUUUGUAUCGCCGCAGUAUCAGCGUGGUGGAUACCCCAGGUAGUGUAGAUUACUAUUACACUCGUGCUGGGAUGCCGAGCCUUUUUUUUUAUAGUAGAGUUUAGAUUGCUGGGUGCCGUCGGGGUUGACGGUGGACCCGGAUUGUCGUUCUGGCAUCAGAUUGUGCUGAGGGGACGUGACUUGUUUGUUGGUAGACCAGUUGGACUCUGUGUACUUGACUAUAGCCUGCGAGAGCCUGAUUGAGCUCGGCAGAGAUACGUUUGCAUACUCGGUUGGAUAGCGCCCACGAGUGCCACUCCGGAGUUGGGCUUAGCUCUUCUGCGUUGAUGUCGAGGUGUCCUGUUUGGACUUGCUAUCAACGGACUACUUAGUGUGGAGGUAGCUUUAGCUUCGACAGGCGGGACGAGUGUGUUCACAGUCCCUGGGACGGGUAUGAUUACAAUCCCGAGUGAGAUUGGGUCAGGUUUGACAUCUUUUACAGACUGUUAGUAUAGAGCAUGAUAGUAUACUGGUUUUUAGCUGUAGAGUAGUUCCGGCAUUAUUUACUAUCCUAGCUACCUUCUGUAGACUUAGUGGGUAGACCGAUGAUGUUGAGGGCGGCACCCACUGAGGACUACUUGUUUUUAUAGUAGUUCUCACUCCCCGUUGUUUCUUUUCGUUUUGUAGAGCCUUUGGUUCCGGCUGCUGCGUCUUCUGAGACAGAGCGUGGUAAGGGCGUUGCGAGCUAGAGCCCUACCAGUCGAGCCGUCGUGUUAGCAGAGCACCAGCUAGAGGUAGUUGUAGUUUUUGAGUUCAUAUACAUACUGUUGUUCUAUAUCUCGCCCGACGAGUCCUUUUGUAUUUCAGGAUAUUGUAUGUAUAGUGAACUAUUAUUUUCUUCUACCUGGUUACUCUUCUUAGCAACUCUUUACUACUGGUUGUAGUAUUGUAUAUUUUACAGGUACAGUUAUCGCUUCAUAUAUAGAAGAAAUUUUUUUGUAUACGGCGGAUUUGUCGGCGUGCUCGGGGAACGUGAAACUCGGGGCGUGACCUUAUCUAUUUGCUCUAUUCUUAUCUUGUUAUCGUCAAGUCCUAUUUGUUUAGGAUUAACUCAAUGUAGUUAAGAACUGACAUUCGCUUUUAUCCUUCCAGACAUUAUACGAAACCUUUUUUCUUCAAAUUUUUGUUUAAUCUUUUUAAUAAGAGUAAAAUAUAGAAACUCUAUAUAAAUACUUGUUUUUUCACUUCCUCCACCGACUUUAAACAAAUCUAUAUUCUACCUCUUCAAAAUUUCAAGUUGAUGUAUUUAAACCCCCUUCAUUAAGAUUCUGUCACUAAUCCGUUCAUUCCUUAUAAUUUAUACUAAAGAAACCCUUAAAAUGGUAGAAAUACAUAAAAAAAGUAUUUUUUUUUCUUAAAGAACAAGUAAAAAAAAUUGAAUCAUUUAUUCCUCUCCAUUCACACCAAAUAUUUAUGAGAUUUUAAGGAAACAGAAUGCAGGUUUUUUGAAAGUUAGGAUGAAAAAGUAAAAAAAAAAAAUUAUAAAGGGAGGAUUUCUUUAUUUUAGCCAACAUAUAAAGUUUUAAUAAGGUUACAAAUCAUCCUACAAAUACAUAAUACUGUGGAGUAGUGGUUCUUCUGCAGGCACCAACUCAUAUUUUGAUAUUUCCACUUUUAUGUGCAUUAUUAAAAGUAAAAUAAAAUAUGCAGGCGAGAUAACAUCUGCCUCUAGAUCAUCGUUUCCUCAAGCAUGGGUUGUUUAGAAGAUCCGAGGCGGAAAAUAUAGAAGCAUCAAGCUCGGUGCUUUGCAAUAAUUAAUUCACCUACAUGAUGUACUUGGAAUCAUUGAAUCCUUUCUCUGAAAUAUCAGCCGUCUUGUUCGAUACCAAUAAAAAAAGUCGAGACGUGGUGAACCUUGGUGCGGCCAUCAUUGAUGUGGCCGCCUUCUCCUCCUCGAAACUUCUCAACAAGUACCUUUACUGCAUGCCAAAUGUAUAAACCUCGAAGCGUAGUGAGGUACUCGAUACCGUGGGGCAACUCCUUUAGCUUUGGGCAAUGGCAUAACUGAAGCGUAUUCAGGCUUGCGAUUGCUCCUCUUUCUAUUUCCACCUGACUGAGGUUCCGGGCACCAAAUAUUGUCAAUUGCUUUAGCUUCGGGAAUGAUGUUGCUUGGAAGUGCAACUUCAUGCCAUCAUAUGCGCCAUGAAGGUAAAGAAGCAUUAAUGCGGGCAGUGCUUGCAGGUAAGGAAACGUAUCUUCAUCCAAUUUUGCAUAUUUAAGUGUUAAUCUGGUUAGGUUUGUAAGAGACCCAAAGAACGUGGCAAGCUCAGGGAGUGAGGUUUUGUCUAAUUUACCCUCCAGUUGUAAUCCUUCAAUUGGUAGAGGUAGGCGCAGGGUGCCCAACUGCUGUAAUUCUCCCCCAUCUUCACAUUCGACACAUAAAUCGAUAAGAUGGUUCAUCUUUGUGAUACUAUUCCACAAGUCUGCACAGUGAAGGGUUCUUACGCCG